rnacentral:lncRNA from 1 species
AGUCAAAGAAUGUUAAGAAUUAGGGACCACAUCCAAAGGGGCCCUUGAAUAUUUCACAAAUUGUCUAUCGAAAAAGGUACUAAUUUGAGUAAUUUCACGAACCGAUAGACCGCAGAAGUUCACAUUCUUCUUGCAUUAAUCUUUCUGAAUAUUACAAUCAAGCUCAUAUAAACAAGGAGCAGUCAUUUAGCAAACUGUUAACAGAGUAACAUAUUCAAGAGUUGUACUCGAUAAAGUUUCGGCAAACCCAUGCCUGUGUGUCAUUAAUAGUGAGAGACUCGAAAACGUUUACAUAUCCUGCUAGCAAAUUCUUGUUUCCUAAAAACAAACUCGAAUAAGUUUCUGCAACAUGUCCUUUGCAUACUGUACAUGUUACAUAAAGCUUAUUGUUCAGAGUGAUCCGUUGAUCCCUUUUCAUCUUUUUACCUCAUUGGUAGUGUUGAAUGUAUAUUUUCAUCUUUACUUUUUCUACAUUUUGAUAAGUUCAGUGUAUAACAGCUAAAGGUGGUCGUUGUAAUUCCUAGGCCAUGUUAAACUAUUCAUUGUUUACAGCAUAGGCUACUUUUUUCAGUUUCAUAUUAACGUAUGACAACAGUGCGGACUCCUAUGUUGCUUAUGAAUGAAGAAAACUACAGACAAGCAGACCUAAAGAGAGAUCCGAAAGCAGAGAAACAUGAUAACUUAUUUGGGAUUUUUUUUUUUUUUUUUUUUUCGUCGUUAACCAUCUUGAUGGAAAAAACUUACAGAUCUCGGUGGAGACUUUGCCAUGAGGAUUUGUGGACCCUUUACAAAGAAGCUAUUGGAGUCGCUUUCUGUAGUGCUGGAGGUCAUAGAAGCGACAUCCUUUGACCUACCCGUCAACUUUAGCCUAGGAAAAUGAUCACCCCAGAUAUCAUAUGUAUAUUCAUCCCCAAGCCGAGCCUUUUCUUCUUCAGCACUUUUCCGAUCAGAGAGUUUGGACCCAGGGGCUCUAACAUGCGGAGAAAUAGGGGAUGUUGAAGCCAGAUAAGAGGAUGAGCAUACCAAAUUAGGUGCAGGCCUACUGGAACCAGGAAUGGUGGCAGAAGGCAAUAAAACAGUUCUGGCCGCAGGUUUUCUUGGUGCUGGUGGCUGCACUUGAGAAGCAAAAGUUGGGUGGUUAUUGCAAUAUUUUAUAGAAACCUCCGGCUGUGACAAGUUUGCCUUAGAAGCAGAUUUAAAAACAUGACUCUUCCGGAAGUGUUGUUGAGCCACUUGAGUAAAUGGAUUUCUGGCCUCAACAGCUUGGCCCACAUCAGGAGAUAGCGGCCACGUCUGUUUUGGUAUUACAGAUGAGACUGGAGACAAGGGUGAUGAAGGUGUAGAAUUUCCACUUUGACUACUUGAAACUUCAAAAAGUCCUGUGAAUUUUGCACCGGCACCCUUUCUCUUCUUACGCCUUCUACCCUUUUCCUGUCCAGUUUUGACUGUGAGGUUACCAGGUUGGGAUGCUUCUAGUUCAUUGGGAUUCUCAACUGACACAGAUUUAGAAGUCAAUGAGAAAGCCAUGGCUUUGUUCUUUGUCGUAUCUGACAAAUAAUUAGUUUGUUCAUGACCCUGUAGCAUUUGAUCUGCAUGUUGAACAAAUUUUUCCCGCUCUGAGGCCCCAGCCUGGUCAUCGGGAUAUCUACCAACAGAUGAUGCCUGCAUUGAGGUUUUAUCUUCCCGAACUGAUCUUAGCAAACUGUUUAUCUCACCAGACACAGAAAAUCUGCUGUCUCUAUAAUUAUGCGCAUGAGAUGAUUUUCCUGAACUACUUUUAGAAGUAACCAAGGAACUUUUUCCGCUCGUGUACAAACAAUCAUCGGAACAAAAGGCAGGCACCUGGGGUAAUAUAUACCAAAAUACUAGAAACAUCAAGGAGACAACCAGAAAUACUGCUGAAGAGUAUUUUUUGACGCGCAUCCAGACCACUGAUUUCUUGCAUAUAUUGAUCAUAUGCAAAGGAAUGCUUGCCUUCAUGGGGAUCACCAUAAUACCAGAAUUCACGGCCAGCUCAAGAUCCCGUUGUACCAAGGCUGCAGAAAAAUCAGUCAGGUACGAUAUCAGAAGUUUUGCUGAUUCUCCAGGUUCAAGAGUAAAACCUUUGCAAGUUUGUACCAUAAACCCAUCCAUCCCACACUCUUUUCCAGAAACUGUGAUUCUUCUAAUCUCCAGAGGAAAGUCUCCUGUAUUCUUAGCAUAGAGCUGCCUUGAUAAUGGCUGUAUACAAGAAUGAGUGACGUUUUCCAUGUGAAACAUGUCUGGAGGAGAAAAGUCAAGAGGAAUUUGUAAGCUGAGGUUGAAUUCUACACUCUGAACAGGCUCAGACUCUUCAAGAAGAAGCAAGGAUAGCAACCCUCCAGAUCCCCUCAGAGAUAACCACUCCACACCAGAUAGAUUGUUUCUUAUCAGGGCCGAACUUCUCCAAUCACAUCGAUUUGAAGGGUGAAACAAUACUGGUCCAAGAGAUGCUCUACCAUUGGGUUGAACAUAAGCCUCUGUUUGUGCAUUUUCUGCUAUUGAGAACCCAUACCUACUUGGAGAAGUGGAUUCAUUACAAACCAUGCUACCCGAUGAAGGAAGCUGUGUAAGACCAUCCGCACUCUUACAUCGGUCAAUAAUCUCCCCUGAGUUCAGUAUAAGCUGCAUCACUACCGGCGCUUGGCUAGGAUUCUUUACAGUGAUCCAUUUAGAGUUAUGACUUCCUACCUGAAGCAUUGGGAAGAAUACCUCAUGAUCAGUGAGCACAGACACGCCACUUCUGGUAUCUUGAGAUUUCCAUUUUCGUAGCACCAACUCAUCUGCCUCUGCUGUCUCCAUUGCCUUCAUGUAUAGGAUCACAUUAACAUUUUGGUUACUAUGGAUGUUCAUGUUUGUGGGUAAAAAAAAAAACACGUUAUAUAAUUGGUUAUGGAUAGUUCAUGUCUAAAAAAUCUCAAACAACACAAAAAAGAGUUAAUUGGUUAUGGAUAGUUCAUGGCUAAAUAACCUCGAACACCACAAAAAAGAGUUAAACUGAUUCAGAAAUAUACGGCACAAUAACAGCCAUAGUAACAAGUAUGCUCUACCUUUAGGCAAUAAAAUUGUAGAGACAGGCAUGCAAUCUUUUAUAACUCUUUUAAAGCUAUUUGAUCAAUGGAGUGGACACCUGCUGACUCCAGUGCCUUGAAGAUGAGGAACCUUGAAAGAAUGAUACUUUUUGCAAAUAACUAAGGAGCAUGCAUGUUUGAUACUAAUAAAUGAAAGGGAACGUUCUUGAUCACUUAGUCAAAAGACAAAGAGACACUUAGUCAAAAGACAAAGAGACAACAAACAAAGGCACGGCAAGCUGUACAGCAAUCAAACUUCGAAAGCUAAUCCAGUUUCACACAAAAAUGAGAAUACACACACACUCAAACAUACACAGAGAGAAGUAAAAUCUGCCUACCAUGAUCGGUAAUGGCAACUGCAUGCCACUUUCAGAGAACUCUGUCUGCAUAUCACCCGAUUCACUCCUUUCAGACUGAUGUUCAUAUUCAAUGGUGGAAUCAUUCCAAUGUCUUGUACAAAUAUGAAUAAAAUCCUGGCAAGGAAUUUCAAUCUGAGAGCUACUUGAGUCAUUUGUCUGUAUAAGUAACUUACAUUGUCCAUCUAAUUUGACAAGUGGCUCAGUACAAGCAACAACAGCAACAUAUGUGUCGCUGCCAGGGAAAAGUAGUAAGCCUUCAAUGUACUUAAUCUGCAAGGUUCUACCAUCCGCAACUUCAGUAAUCUCAAGAAGUCUCAAAAGGUAAGUAGCAGAAUUCUUCAGAGAUAUAGCAACAGCAGUUUCAUUGGCAGAAUAGGGGACCAAAACCUCAAGAGAUGCCGAGAUAGGUAUUUCAAGAUCAUCAUUCAUUGCUGUUCCAUCCACUUCAGCCUCAAAAGGAAGCAUAACAGUAUCAGACUUGUCCUCAGAAGGCCUUAGCAACUGCAUACAAAUUGCACCAUAAAUUCUUCCUUUCGAUUCAAUUGAGAAGUCUAUUUCUAUGAUAGUUUCACUGCUGUGUGGACCAAUCUCCCAGUUCAUAAGGGGCCUCAUGGCCAGAAGAGGCAAACCAACUUGUCCAGUACUCACAACCAGACGUUCUUUAACACUCAGCAACCCAAGUUCAUCGGAACCUUGAAGUUUCUCAGUACUACAUAUUGCCUCUGCAUGAUGGGAAGUAUGCUCCAGAGACACUGAUAUCCAUGCUGUAACUUCCUUCACGUUGAAAAUUUGAUCAAAGGAGUUAAACAACGACAAAUUCUUACUCCACCUUCCCCUGGAAGAAACAUCCAUGUCCAAUAAAGGAUGAAUCCCAUAAGGAGACUCUAUGGCAAAACCUUUCGCCUGAACCAAGAAACCACCUGAGCUUGUCUGCAAAAUUAGACGAGCAGAGGACAAGCCCAACCAUCUAGGUAAAAAUACAAAACAAAUUGAAGCUGUUUCACCAGGUCCUAACUUAGUCUCGCUAAAGUUGCAAGGAUAGAACUGCAUGUCAGUACUGAAUGGUUCAUAAACAUGUAAAAUGGUGUCAUUGCACGUAUUUUCCACAGUUAAGAAAGCUAACGAUGGAAAAUUCAUAUACUUUUGUCCCCAAUCCAAUACUGCAGGGCUAAUUUCUACAUAGGGUGAGGGGGAACCAGUGAAAGAACUAAAUUUGGUCAUCUCAGUGUUCUUGUUUGGCCUAAAAUUUGUGCUCUUCUGAUAAAGUAAAGGUCCGCUACAAGAAGAAAGAUCGUUUUGAUUAGAGCUAUCAGCUUGAAUGGAUGACAACUCAUUAGUAGCCUCUUUGGAGUUCAGAGAACAAGAAACAAUCCCUCCAUUAAAUAACUUAAACACGCCAUUGUCUGAUGACCAACUUUUGUUAUUUGCCAACUUGCUAUCUUCGGUUGAUCCUAUAGAUGAUAGAUGAUAUAUCAUUAGACUGAUCCCCUGAAACUCCAAAAUCAGCCACUUUGAGUUUAUGCUCUAAGAAACCAGGUAAUGUUGACGGAAAGCAGAAUAAACGGGAGCUAGUACAAAUCUUAUCAAGAUUGAAGUGGGUUCUUGGAACUCCACAGCCCAAACUGGUGUCACCGAGAAAAUUAUCCGCAAAAGCCACAUUCAAAUUAUCUCCAUAUGAUCCACAAGAAUCAUAUUCCGAUAAUAUCUCACCAUUCCCAGAGCAUUGUCUAUAUGUAGUGAGGUAAAAGAGGGUGCAUGCUAAAACCAUAAGUAAACGGAAUGCUUUGGUUGCAUGCGACAAUCCCCUGAACAUUGAACAGCACAGAUAACAUCACAAAAUUACAAUUUAACAUGUACGGAAAAUAUUUACAGAACUUGAUAACUUUGUAUGCAACGAGGCCUUUAACUGCUAAAAUUUUCCAUCACAAAUAAUAAAACAGAGAUAACCGAACCACUAAGACAAUUACAAAAUGCAGGUGGGCCAAGCAAAUCAUCAUUUACUUUACGUUUUUAACAUUUGAUUACCUACAUUUUCUCAGCAGCCAAACGGAGUCAAGGUUAUACAAACAUGUUUUCUGCGCAGCCAAACAGAGUCAAAAGUCAUACAACCCUGCUGGGGCCAAACUUCUUUCUGUGUUUUUAAAACAAAUUACAAACCAAGCGGAGAAAAAUAUGAGAACAAAAUAGAAAGUAGGUCCCGUAUUUAAUUUUAAGUUAAUAAAACCAAAAAUCCAUCCUUUUACAACAAGUUUGGAAAUUACUAACUUCACCAUCCUUUUAAAGCUUCAAAUAAUUAUUACCCAUUUAUGUACACAGAAGCAAAGGGGGCAGUCACUACAUUUUGCAGAAAACUUAAUGGCUCCAACAAGUUUGGAAAUUUCUAAACUUCACCAUUAAUAGCUAAAGCUUUCCAAAUUAACAACGAAACGCAGGCGAUAAUCGAAAUCCCGAAAACCCGCCAUCGCUCUAAUACCACUUAGAGAAAAAAUUUAAUCCGAUAAACUCAUCGAAACUACGACCCAGCUCAAAAUAUAAAAGAUUAAAAAUUAACAAAAAAUUAUUUAUCAGACUAUACGAAACCACGACUCAGACGGAACAGGAAAGAAGAAAAAAGCAAAACAAUCGGAACCAAACGACGUCGGAAAUGGAAACCAGAGAGUCAUUUAUCAGACUAUCGGAGUUCCAAAAACGCCAAAAAGGUGUAAAAUUUUCAACAAUCCAGAAUCCGAGAAGGAAAAGACAGGCGAUGACAAGAAAGUAAGGCAGAAAAUUCAAAACAUUAAAUAAAAAAUAGAUUUUUUUUUCUGAAAACACGCUUAUUGUAAACAUCGAAAGCGAAAAGAAAUGGUGGAAGAGUAUUUUUACCGGAGGUUGACGACGGCGAGCUGGCGGCCUUGAGCCGUGACUGUUAGGGUUUUGGACUCCAUGGGUGAGCAGGAGAGCGGAAGAUGAACAUGCAAAGGUUUGUCAGCAGAAUUUUUUAUUGGGGGUUUUGGUUGUUCAGAGGAGAGUAUGUGAACGGUUAGAGGAGGAGCAGCGGCACAAGAGCACCUGAUAUGACAUAUGAGCGAUGACUGGCCACAGAGUCCACUGAGGACCAACAAAACCACAGAUAUCAGGCGCUGGACGGGAUGGAUUUACCAAAGUGCCCACGUGGGUCCACUGUGAAGUUUUUCUUUGACUGAAAAUUACUCGGGAUGGAUUUACAGUUUGAUUAUUUUUUGUUGCAGGCAAAUUACAAUAUAACACGUGCAUGUACAAAUUAUUUAUAAAUUUCAGUAAGUGUGCACUCUUUAUAGGAUAUUACUAUCCACACACUCAUUUUGCUUUUCACAUAUUUUUUUUCAAUAUCUGGUCAUAGGAUAGGAUAAAUUGAAAAAAAACAAUAACUAAAAAGUAAUAAUAAUGUAAGAGGUAAAAAUAUGUAUGCUAAUAACACUUUUUCCUUUUUCAGCUUAUUACAAUCUCGGUCUUGUUUUAUUUUAGUAGUUAGAUUGAAUGGUCCUUUUUAACCAUUUCAUUUUUAGUUUUUGUUUUCAUUUUAUUUAAAACUUGUAAACUAAAAAUUUAUUGCAAGUGAUGAAUUGUCUUAGUAAAUACGAUUGUAGACAUCGAAAUUUCGGUGAAAUAAAUGUUGAUCAAUAAUUAAAAUUUCAACGUUCACUUGUCAUAUAAAUUUUACACAUAGCAGGUGACUCAACGAAAAAAUCGAGAAUCAUCAGAAAAGUCAUCAAACAUGACACGUGUCAACACUUGGCAGAAACGAUUUAUUUCAUCUAAAUAAUAUAUUCAAAAUUAGGCUUUGGAAAAUUCUAUAAAUAUAAGCCAUUUCAUUCAUUUUAGGGGGACCAAUUCAUAACCAAUUCACCUCACACCAAAACCUUGAAGCUUUGAAACUCCAAAGCUCCCAAGCAAAUCCCGAAGGAUCAAGAAAGCUUUCUUCAUUCUUCGUCAACCCAACCUUCAAGAUCAAGCCCCAACGAUCCUUUGAAGAACUUCCACCAAUUCAAGAUCAAGUCCUGACGGCCCUUGAAAAAAGCGUUCAUCGUUCAUCAUCCGUUCAUCCUAAGAUCAAGCCCCAACGGCCCUUUAGAUCAACAACAUCAACAAAUCCACACAUCCAACUGUUCUUCAAGAUAAAGCCCAAAACCCCUUGAAGAUCCGUUCAUCAACAGUUCUUCAAGAUCAAGCCCAAAAGCCCUUGAAGAUCCAUCAAUCAAUUGUUCAUCAAGAUCAAGCCUCAAAGGCCCCUUGAAGAUUCGUUCAUCAAUAGUUCUUCAAGAUCAAGCCCAAAAGUCCUUGAAGAUCCGUUCAUCCAUCAACCUUCAUGAUCAAGCCCAAAAAGCCCCCUUGAAGAAACUUUCAACCAUUCAUCCGAGAUCAAGCCUCGACGGCCCUUGGAUCAGCAUCACAAUCCACAAAUCAACACCUUACGGAGAUCGAAAGAUGAUCAAAUUUGAGAGAGAUUGUAAACCCUAAAUCAUUAAUACAAAAUAUUAUUUUGCACACGUGUUCUUGUCUCGUUUGUUUCAGGAAUUUCCGUGUUUACAAAUUUGGCAUGCCCGGUGGGAUAAUCUCUACCUCUCAUCUCCUCUCCGUUCAAGAAAUUCAAGCACACUUCCAAAAUCAAUGGCAUCAAACAAAUGACAAGUCGUUCUCACAAAGGGAAUAAGCCUGAGCACUUUCGCCAUGAACGGAGCAUCCAUUGGCACCACAACUACUCUUCAACAAACCACUUCAAAGUCGGUGCCGCUGAGGGAGCAAGUGGAGCAUCAAAGACGCAAGCCCGUCAUCAACCUAACCUCGUUGGAGGCAUCGAAGCAUGUCGUUGAGGCACAUCAGAUGACAUCCCAAAGCGGCCAACGGGGUCCUUCAUCAACACCCUGGAUGCCUGAAGAGUCGCGUAUGAUGGUUGCACAAGUCAUGACCAUCGACGUUACCUCCAUUGAAGAACAGCUAGCUCAAAUGAGUGAAGCAAUUGCAAAGCUCACAAAGACCGUGGAAGAGAAAGACUUGCAAAUUACGGCACUCGUCAAUAAGUUGGGGGCACGGCAUGAUGCAGGAUUCGGCUCUGACUCCAAGAAAGGUGGCGACGAAGAAGAAGAGCCUCCAGUAGAGAAGGUUGAAAAAAAGCCGGAACUAGAGCAGCGGCGCUCAUGGGAUCUCUCUGCAUCAAGCAGUUACAAGAGAUGAUCGUCAGCACCGUCAAGGCACAGUUUAAAAGGAGCUCAAAUACCUCCGGGUUGUACUCGAAACCUUAUUCAAAGAAGAUUGAUGCCCUGAAGAUGCCGAGAGGAUAUCAACCACCAAAGUUUAUGCAGUUUGAUAGAAAGGGAAACCCGAAGCAGCAUGUCGCCCAUUUCGUUGAAACUUGCAACAACGCAGGGACCGAAGGGGACUACCUCGCCAAGCAGUCUGUGCGCUCGCUGAAAGGAAACGCCUUCAACUGGUACACCGACCUCGAGCCCGAAUCCAUCAACAGCUGGGAGCAAUUGGAGCGAGAAUUCCUCAAUCGUUUCUACAGCAUCCGCCGCACUGUGAGCAUGCUAGAGCUGACGAGCACAAAGCAGUGGAGGGACGAGCUAGUCAUUGACUACAUCAACAGAUGGCGCACUAUAAGCCUUAACUGCAAAGACAGGCUCUCAGAGACAUCUUCAAUCGAGAUGUGCAUCCAAUGCAUGCAAUGGGGUUUUGAUAGGAUUAAAAUCACACCACAAAGUAGCACACAAAUGUCCUAUUGAUUUUCCUUAUUAACACUAAGAUUUGUCAAUUGUAGCAUAUGAAAAUAAGAGUCUUUCCCACAGAAGAUUGUUUUAUCUAACUACCUAAAAUGUCACAAAAACUGGGUUGUUGUCCCUACUGACCAGACACCGAAAAAUAAUUAUUAGACCGACUUAUACUUAUCUAAAGUCUACGAAAUUUUAUAUGCAGAUACUAGACACACAAAGCUACACUCACACAAAUUUUUGGGAUUUUUGGAGUUGAUUUUCUAUUUAAAUUAAAUCGAACAAAAACAGGAUAGAAACAAAUUUUAAGUAGUUCACAAAUUAAGAAAACGAGUUAGGGGUAUUGCUAUCCACCACCAAAUAAUCAUGCAAACAUGUUAUGUUUCAUUCAAAUUUCUUUUAUUUCCGGAUGAAGAUGCUCAAGUUGGCUCAAUGUUAGAACUCAACCUAUUACUCUUUCUUACGUAGUAUGUUAAGAGAAUGGCGUUUUCAACUUAACUUAGUCCCUAGCAUGCAAUCUAGAAUGGCGUGUUCAUAGAUUUAACAAGUAGAAAUCAUUACGAACGAAAAGAGUUUGAGUCAUCACAAGGCAUCGUAAGUACUGGCGUUGUCUUACUUAUCCUAGAAAUUGGUUCACAUAUUAAUCGCAAUUAACAAGUACUACUUUAGAACAUAUGCAGGUCCUCAUUCGACAAGGGCAGACACACACAUAUUCAUAGCAUUAGAAUCCUAGAUAUGCUUACUAUGUAUGCAUCCAUAGAAAACAAAUAAAGAAUUCAUCAAUGAGACAAGUAGUGAACCAAGUUUCAUCCAUUCAUAAAAGUAAUUCAACGAAAUGUCAUAACAAAAUUGCAAUCAUAUUCGGGGCUUCAAAACAGCCCCUAACUUCUAAAAAAUUAGUUACACAUAGUUCUCAAAAUAAACCAAAAGAAAGACAUGAGUUUGAGAAGAUAAAACCGAGAGAAGAGAAUGCCAAGAUUUCCUCCUUCCUUUCCUUCCUUUCUCAACGCAGCAGCCUUGCCUUUUUUCCUUCAUUUCCUUCCUUUUUUUCUAUUUUUUUUUCCUCUAAAGAACUCUCUUUUGCUGCUGCAACCUGCAGCCUAUGCCCAUGCUUGCUGCCCCAUUUCUGCUCCAUAACUCACCCCACUAACAGUCAUUUAGUGAUGACAAUAAGUGAGAGGAAAUGGUAAAACAAUUGUAACUUUUUGGGCAACCUUUAUGCCAAUUACUCCCACUUAAUCCUCAUCUUUAAUUCCAUUUCAUCUGAUAUUUGAAGAGGUGUCAGCUGACUUGUUCUUGGCUUCAUCAGUUUUGGCUGCUAGUUUUAUUGGAUUUAUUGCCUUCAAUGCAGUUACAAACUGCUCAGCGUCUUGGAAACCUUUCAGUGUUAAAACAGCCAUAACUUCUUCUAGAAAAAAGAUAUUAACAAUCCGCGAAAUGCUCCAGAAAAUAGACAUCCGUAGCUUUCCAAGCAUAUAAGGCUCAUUCUCUAAUUCAUUCUGAACUGUUCGCAACUUGCUUCCAAAGUCAGCUGACCUGCACAGGCAGUUUUGACGAAUUUGUUACUUAAAAUCCCACUUGUGCUAUUUUUCUUUUAUUUGCUUGACAAAUUCUACAAAACACAAAAACAAAGUAAAUAGCUCAAAAAUAUAAGGACUAACUAAGAAAAGACAAGUGAAUUUGAUGUAAAAUAUAGAUAAAUAUGAGCUUAUCAGGUUUGCAAUACAUCCUUCAAGUCAUCAAACCACGGACCUUCGAAGAGCUAGCCACCCGCGCCCAUGACAUGGAGUUGAGCAUCGCCCAUCAUGGGAAGAAGGAACCGAUCUCUGACUACAAGACUGACAAAGUUGUUGGGCCAAAGGUGGAGAAGACUGCGUGGAAAGAUACCAAGGAAACAAUGACACUCAACACAACUCUCGUCAAAGUCUCUACACGAGGCAAGGCGAUUCAAACCGAAGCUUUUCAUGAUUAAGAGAGGCGUAGAUGCACUUUGAAGGAGCUUGAGGAGAAGACUUAUCCAUUCCCCGAUUCUAAUGUGGUUGCCACGCUGGACGACCUGUUGGACAAAAAUGUGAUCGACCUGCCUGAGUGCAAACAGCCGGAAGAGAUGAAUCGUACCGACAGUCCAAGAUACUGUAAAUUCCACCGCUUCAUCAGCCAUCUGACAAAAAAGUGCUUCGUGCUGAAAGAUCUCAUCAUGAAGCUGGCUUAGAAAGGAAUCAUCGAGCUAGAUCUUGACGAUAUAGUGAAGUCAAACUAUACCACCAUCACUUCUGGCUCUUCCGACUCGAAGUUUUCACCUCAACUGCUGGGGGCAUGGUCCGAGUCAAGCGAAGUUGAAGGAUGGAUUCAUGUCACUCCGAAGAAAUUACACAUGAAGCCUACAUCUCCUCCACAAGUUCGCCAACCGAAAAGGGGGCAAAGCAGCUUUUGUCAACCUCAAAAGCAACGGGAAAUUGUUAAAAAUGAUGAAAUUUCAACACAAAGAUCGUCUGUCCCCAUCAUGAUGCGCGAUUUCUUCCUCGAAGACUUCUUCAAACACUCAAUCAAGACACCUUGCUAUGAAGAUUGCAAGGAAUGCCUCUCCAAGAUCGUUUGACAAAUUCACAAUGCUCCUUGUUCGCACGAGCCUAAACUGCACGAACCAAAGCUCCUUGUCUGCACGAGCCUAAACUAUAGGACACGAGGCUCCUUGCCUGCAUGAGCCUAAAUUACAUGGCACUAAGCUCCUGGUCUGCACGAGCAUAAAAGGCAACACCAACGCUCCUUGCCUGUACGAGUUGAAACUGCAAACGGUACCAAGAUACUCCUGGCCCGCAAGAGCAUAAACUGCGUACGGCACAAAAAAAAUGUAUUCGAACUACGUUAUGACUUGAUCUCUUCUUUGGAGGGGUACGUAGGCAGCUCAAACAUUCAAUUUCGAGUUCAGUCACAUCACAAUAAAAAAUAAAUUAAAAAAAAAAGGUUUUACUAAUGAAAGUCAAAUUUAUUACAAAUGCAAAAAUAUUACUUUGUAAUAAAAAAAAAGGAAUACAGUUUCUGCAAAAAGAAAAAAAAAGAAAAAAAAAACAUAAAAAAGGAAUUGGGCCGCCCCAGCCUUGUCUCUAUCAAAGGGAGUCACAGCCUAUGCCUUCCUUCAUUUCACAGGCUUAUAUGCCAAUAACCCAUCCAAAAUGAAGCCCAAUUGAAGCUUCCCAGAGGCUUCAACCCAAACACAAUUUAAACCCAAUAUCAGAAGAGAAUGAUAACGAAAACGAUGCCUUUGAAAUCCAAAGGUUCUUUGUCAAUACGAGUUCCAGGCUUCAAUCGCGUUUCCCUUCGGCUGACCAGAAUGUGAAGAAUAUGGACGUGAGUGCAAGUAGGACGAAUCUCUCACCUCGAAGAAGCUGUUACCGCUUCGGCAAAUGACCUUCGCUAGUCAACGCUCGGCUCGUCGGAUUGUGAAUGCGUUCUGCGGCGUCGACCAGGAGAUCUGGGCAGAAUGCAAGCCGGAGAGAUGGUUGGAUCAACUGCAGUUGUUGCUGUUCUAUGUGGUUGUCAGAUUAUCGCACCUAAUUGUGGUGACUCUAGGGCUCUUCUUUGAUGAUAAACUGAAACAAUUCCUUUAAUUAUCGAUCAGAAGCUGCACGAAGUUCUCCUCCAUGAUCUGCCAUCUGCUUAUCGUCCAGUGCUGCACCUCCGCUGCAACUCUUCCACUUCCUGCAACUCCUCCACUUCAAACUCAUCACUCUACCUAGUGAAGACGUUGCAGAUGUGGUAAACUUUGGCGAAAGAUUGCAGAGAAGUUGAAGAUGUUGACAACGUGGCACUCCUCAUCGCCCAAGCUGCCGUAGCACUCCUCAUUGCCCAAGUUGUCAUACCCCUGAGCUCUUCCCCUAAUGCUCCAAAGAUUUGCUCCAUCUUUUGAGCUCAGCCCUCCUCCUCAUACCCACCUGGACCUGCAAGCUGAGAACCAGCAACAGCAGUGACGGAUGCACACGCCGCAAUCACCAUUCUCUCUAUCUCUUCCGUGAUCGGACGGAAGCCGAUUACUUCGAGAUCCAAGCUUAAAGGAACUCGCGGGUGGUGAGUACACUAACACGGUCUAAACUUCAAGAUGGGCUUCAGAUCGAUCUGCUUCUCGCUACAAUGACUUAGAGGAUACCCUUGCUAAGGUAAAUCUCUGGCUCAAUGCAUCCAAUGAUUCAGGUAUUCCCGUUGUAUUCAUGAAUAUCCAGAAUUGAGUCCUUGUUCACCAACAUUUCUGGGGAGACAGCAACUUCGAUUUAGGAUUGGGGACGUCAUCCAGACCUGGAUCAGACUUUGAAUUAAGACUGCUUCGCAGUCUGCUCCAUUUGCAGGAAACAGGCUUUGUGGUAUUCUUCUUCUUCUGGUGUGCAGCUUGAACAGUUGUGGUAGCCAUGAACUGAUGACGAUACUUGUGCCUAGCAACAUCUGAGAAAUUCUAGAGAAGUUGUACCACUUGACAAGAUCGAAGACUCAGUAAGGAAUAGUUGAAGAAGCACAUCAAGUUCUUCAUCAACCACCGAAAUUUCGAGCUCAAUUCCUCCAUCACUGUCAAUGACCCGUCAAUCACCACCAUGGAAGUGAAGGACCCCAUGAAUACUUCAGCACCCAACUUUAUGCUCUGCAAGGCAAAAAAAAAAUGCAGUGGAUGUGCAAUGGUGGCGGUGCAAUGGUUGUGUAGUGGCAGUGGCAAACAGUAACGGUGAAGAACUUCAAUGAUCGCUGUCAAACGACUAGCCGGUCAUGAAGCCUCGACUGUAGAUCUCCGUCCGUGGCAAACAGCAAUGGCGAAGAACUUCAAUAACCGCCGUCAAACGACUAGCAGAUCAUGAAGCCUCGAUUGCAGCUCUCUGUCCGUCUUCGUCCUUCCCUGCAAAUUCCUCACCCAUUAUCAAAAUUUAUACCAAAAAAUAUAUAUAAUAAAAAAAGGAUGGUGGAGCAAAGUGGUGCAUGGGCACCAUGUGCAGAAAAAAAAUUAUAAAGAAAGGUAGUGGCACCGAAAGCAAAUAAGAAAGUAUAAAUUUUUGAUGUGGUAUGUGUGUGCAAGUUGUCAAAGAUUUGCCUUUGGCUGAAGGCAACACACGACAAUAAUGGAAAUAGGGAUGUCUUACACAAAAGCAGAAGAUGGUUGGAAUAAAAAAAUAAAAAAAUAAAGAAUUAUCUUUUGGUGAAGGGAAGAGACAGGAGAAAGAAAGAAAAAAAAACAAAAAACAAAAAACAAAAAGAAAAAAAAAUGCAUUGAGAGAAAUAAAGUCCAUUUAUUUAUUUCUUUGGAAAGAUUACAUAAAAUUGCAUUCUACAUGCAAACAAAAAAAAUUUACAAAUGUGCAAACAGCAAAUAUAAGGGAGCCUUCAUUGAUCAGAUGGCACCUUAUCACUCGGCGGAACUCCAGGAAGAAGAGGUGUUAGAGGUUGAUUGUUUGGAGCCUCAACACUUGGUAGAGCUCCGGAGGACGAAGGUAGUAGAUGCCUUUGGAGUAAAACCACAAACAUCCGAUGGUCACUCUGAAUCCGACCUUCAGAUUCCUGCAGCUGGUCGAGCUUUCUUUUCAUGCUCGUUGAGUAACUAUUGGCAAGCAUGUGCAACUCUCUGUUUUCAUGCUUAAGCCCUCUAAUCUCUUGCUUAAGACUCGCCACCUUAGCCAUCAGUGACUCGACUUGACGAGUUCGAGCAAGAAGGCGUUGGCCCAUAUUUGAUACAGAGCUCGCACACUGAACACUGAAAGCCAGAAAGUCCUGAACAACCAGCUUAUCAGACCGCUUAGAAAGGAUCCUAUUAUCUUUAUGGGUGAGAAGAUUUCUAGCUACCACCGUAGUGGUUAUGUCAUUCUUCAUCAUAGAGUCCCUAACUGUAAGAGGACCGGUGGCGGAUAAGAAGGACGGGCGCCAUAUGUUGUCUGGAGAAGACAUAUCAACAUCUUCCCCAACAUUCAAAUCAAGACAACGAUCAAAUGGGCAAGCCAUUUGCAAAAAUGAUGAAAGAAGAAGAGGUAGUGUAAGUCGAAUUCUUAGAAAAUACAAAAUGAGGGAAAUUCCUAACAGGUAGCAACUCUCUAAAUGUGUUUUUGAACACCAUUCAUGCCUCUAUAAAAAGAAGAGGCAACAGGGCCUGUUCAGAAAUCAAAUAGGCAACAGGCCACUGGUUUAAAGAUCGAAAAGGCACCACUCUCCGAAUUUCAAAAAGACCGACUUUUCAGGAUUUGUCGUCAUCUUUCACAUGCAACCUCAACUUUGCGGAAAUCACGCGCAACUUUGUCAAAGAUUUCUGACAAAGUUGAAAAUGCUUGAAUCUUACUGUUUCAAUUACCCAACGGUUGCCGACAAGAGUAAAGGAAUAGUGCCACUACUGGCUAUUGGGAAAUUCCUAUAUAUGACGACCUUCAUCCUCCAUAGCAGGGCAAACCUGCAAAAAAAUGCCCAACCCUUCCUCACUUCCGAGAGUGCACUCCCAGCAGAGCCUCUCGAAAUACUCAAGUUUCUUCCUCUUCGGAAAUACCCUUGCAAACAAAUGACACCAAAGCAAAAGUAUCUCAUAUCACCAGGGUAGAAAGCAAGAGUAUCUCAUAUCAUGCUUUCUCCCUGUCCUUUUUUUUGUCCUUGUUCUUACCUGCAAAGACAAGGAUAAAGAAAACAAUAUGUCGAAACCUCCACUCAAACUCCGGGUAAGGAACCGACUACGUGGAACCUUUGCCUGGUUGCUUACCUGGCAUUGCUCUCGAGUACUCGUCUUCAGCUGCUGAUGUACUUCCGAAGAAGAUGCCACAUUUGCCUGGAGAACAGAUAAGGCAAGUGAAAAUGAUACCUUGAAGCAUGUGGAGACAACGUACUGAUUUCCUUCAAGAACAAGUCUCCCUUUCCCUGCACAAUCAACCAACCCAGCAGAAGGAGUCUGAGUUGAAUCCAAGAGCUCGAGAAGCUUCAAGAACAUAUUGACGGCACCAUCACCGAAGAGCAAAGCCUCGAUAUGCAACGCUGUCAAAAUUGCCACCACUUCUUCGAAAGCAAGAGUAUUUCAUAUCAUGCUUUCUCUAUGUCCUUGUCUUUGUCCUUGUUCUUACCUGCAAGACAAGAAGAAUGAGAGCCAUCAGUCAGAACUUGAAAGUUAAACUCCUAGUCAGGAACCGACUACCUGGAACUCUUCCCUGAUUGCUUACCUAGCACUACUCUCGAAGUACCUAUUAUCUUAACAUCUUAUACUUCUAAAGAAGAUACCACAUCUGCCCGAAGAACAAAUAAGGCAAGGAAAAAUGAUACAUUGAAGCAUGUGGAGACAAGCACAACAAAGCACAUGCCGAUUCAUCCGCUACUACUUCAAAAUCAAAAGUAUCUCAUAUCAUCAGGGUUGCAAUCACUCUGGGUAGUGGACUCGUUUUGACCCUCAAAUUCUUGGGUCGACUUGCUAGGCGUUAUAGGCUGCACGUGCCGAUUCACCACCCUUGAAUCAAAUCCUUAAAGAUCAAGUCACUAACUAGAAGAAGAGCUCAUCAAUCUUGAAGAUCAUAUUAUUGACCAAACUGCUCAGGUGUGAAUUAGAAAGAUUGAACAAAGCAAUAAGUCGUCACCUUCACCUCGUGCCUGCUUACCAUGUGUUCGAGUCAACCUUCAAGAAUCAAGCCUCAACAGCCCUUGAAAAAGCUUCCAGCCAAAUUCAAGAUCAAGCCUCGAUGGCCCUUGAGGAAAUCACAAGUCCGAUUCAAGAUCAAGUGUCUACCACCCUUGAAUCAAAUCCAGUUCAAGAAUAAGUUGUCGAAAGUCAACAAUCGGAGGAAGCCAAAAGGUCCUCCAACCCAGUUCAAGAAUAAGCUGUGGAAAGUCAACAAUUGGAGGAAACCAGAAAAUCCUCCAACCUAGUUCAAGAAUAAGUCUGUGGAAAGUCAACAAUUGGAGGAAUCCAGAAAAUCCUCCAACCUAGUUCAAGAAUAAGUCUGUGGAAAGUCAACAAUUGGAGGAAUCCAGAAAAUCCUCCAACCCAGUUCAAGAUCAAAGUUGUGGAAAGUCAACAAGCGCAACAAAAUACGUGUCGAUUCAUCCACUACCAAAGCCAAGGAUCAUCUACCACAUGAAGCUCCUUGUGGUCCAAUUUCAACCUUCAAAAUCAAGCCUCGACAGCCCUUGAAGAAAUUUCAACAAAAUUCAAGAAUAAGCAUCAACGGCCCUUGAAGAAAUCUCCAGCCUAAUUCAAGAUCAAGCCUCAACGGCCCUUGAAGAAAUCUUCAGCCCAAUUCAAGAUCAACCCUCAACGGCCCUUGGAUCGACAUCUUCAUUAAGGGACUUCAAAACGCAUCUUCUACACGUGACAAGCACAUGUAUACGGCGCGCCUUGAAGUGGGGGCAUUUGUAGACAUCGAAAUUUCGGUGAAAUAAAUGUUGAUCAAUAAUUAAAAUUUCAACGUUCACGUGUCACAUAAAUUUUACACAUAGCAGGUGACUCAACGAAAAAAUCGAGAAUCAUAAAAAAAGUCAUCAAACAUGACACGUGUCAACACCUGGCAGAAACGAUUUAUUUCAUCUGAAUAAUAUAUUCAAAAUUAGGCUUUGGAAAAUUCUAUAAAUAGAAGUCAUUUCAUUCAUUUUAGGGGGACUAAUUCAUAACCAAUUCACCUCACACCAAAACCUUGAAGCUUUGAAACUCCAAAGCUCCCAAGCAAAUCCCGAAGGAUCAAAAAAGCUCUAUUCGUUCUUCAUCAACCCAACCUUCAAGAUCAAGCCCCAACGGCCCUUUGAAGAACUUCCACCAAUUCAAGAUUAAGCCUCGACGGCCCUUGAAGAAAGCGUUCAUCGUUCAUCAUCUGUUCAUCCUAAGAUCAAGCCCCAACGACCAUUUGGAUCAACAACAUCAACAAAUCCACACAUCCAACCGUUCUUCAAGAUAAAGCCCAAAGCCCCUUGAAGAUCCGUUCAUCAACAGUUCUUCAAGAUCAAGCCUAAAAGCCCUUGAAAAUCUAUCCAUCAACUGUUCAUCAAGAUCAAGCCUCAAAGGCCCCUUGAAGAUCCGUUCAUCAACAGUUCUUCAAGAUCAAACCCAAAAGCCCUUGAAGAUCCAUUCAUCCAUCAACCUUCAAGAUUAAGCCCAAAAGGCCCCCUUAAAGAAACUUCCAACCAUUCAUCCGAGAUCAAGCCUCGACGGCCCUUGGAUCAGCAUCACAAUCCACAUAUCAACACCUUACAGAGAUCGAAUCAGAUGAUCAAAUUUGAGAGAGAUUGUAACCCCUAAAUCAUUAAUACAAAAUAUUAUUUUGUACACGUGUUCUUAUCUCGUUUGUUUCAGGAAUUUCUGUGUUUACAACGGUUUUCUUCUUUUCCUCUAUUUUGAGUUCAAACUCUCUUUGGUUUCUACAAUUAUAAGAAAUUACUGUAAAUUAUUCAAAGUUGGUAAAAAAAAAAAAGUAAUUAUGUUCGGUUUUCAAAGCUAAGACGACUUUCAAAAUAGUUAUCAAAUCAAUUUUUAAUUUUGUUUUAAAAGAAAUGAAAACGGAAAUUGAAAUAACUAUUAAUUGAGUCGUAAAGUAGACGCUAAGAGGGUAUUAAUGGAAAAUCAAUAUAUGAGUUGAAUGGAAGUUGGAACUGUAGUGGUGAUGAACUUCAAAAUGGGGGUUGUUGGUGCUUCCCAAGUCUUUAUUUUAGGUGGUGAAAUGACGUUUGCACCCUUGACAUAGUUUACGCUGUCCUGGGAAAUAUCUUCCAGCUAGAAUCUGAGGGCGCGAAAAGGCAGCAGCUUGGCGCGUUGUGGUCCAAGCCUUACUGCAUCGCCGGCUCGCCCUUUUAGGACUUGGAGGCUGCACGCACUCGACCUUGUCCUCGUGUGUGGCACCAUUUGUACUUUUUCUCUUACUAUAUAACCCUGAAAAAAUGGUAAUUUUAGUAAUUAUAAUGAAAGGAUUGUAUUAGGGUGUGAAUUGUAAUUUUUGCUUAUAUGUUAACUAUUUGGUUAUAACAUAUGUUGUGUUGUUAGACUGUUAGUUUCACGGUUAUAUAAAUUUGUAUGUUUUAUUUAAAUUGACAAUUGUAUAAUAUUUGCCUUGUAGAGAGAAAUUUAUUUGAUAAUCAUGUAAAUUGUGCAUAACACCUUCGAUAUUUUGUAGGCUUAUAGAGAUAGGUUCAAAACUUACGAAUAAAAUGGCAAUUACCCUAACUUGCUUGAUUUUAACUUAUUUAUAUGGCCUUGCCCUAUUCUAUGGCACUUUGAUUAUCUUAGUACACAAGAUGCAUCUAGUUUUAGUUUUCACAAUAUUGGAUAUCAAAUUUCAUGUUUUUACGUUAUAGUCGACACGACAUGAGCAUUACGUGUCUAGAUUUAGAUUUCCACCACUGCAUGUGUAUUACGUGUCUAGAUUUAGAUUUUCACUGAUGCAUGUGCAUAACUUGUUUAGAUUUUCACUAUUGCAUGUGUAUAACGUGUCAAGGUGUACCUAGCAUUAAAUUGUUGUUACGUGAAAAGAAAUUGCAUUCAACGACUAUAUAUAACAAUUAUUCAAAUCGUUUAAUCUCAUGUACUAAUCACGUGAUCCGUGGUAAAAAUGAGAGUUAUAUGUAAGUACUAUAUAAACACUUCGUUUUUUACUUAUAUGUGAAGAAAAAUGUCACUGAAUUUGAAUCUCAUAGACGAAUAAUUCGAUAUAAUAGCUUAAAAAAAAAUCUCGUGUUUUCUCAAAUUUAUCUUUUUUGUUCAUCAAAUUUUUACUUUACAAUUUAAAGGAUAAUGCUCGCAUUCUUAAUUGGAGAAUGAUCUAAUUUCCCCUUGCAAAUAACCUAUCUUCAUCGUUAAAAUUUUAAAAUCGGAACUUUUAAAUCUUUUAGUCUUCAUUUAAAGAUCAUUUAUACAAAAAAAUCAUUCGAAUCGAAAAUUGUUUAGUCUUCCAAAUGUAACAAACAAACCAAAGGUUCAUCAUGAAUAUACUAUUUGGUACCAUACCGUUGAUUCAUUUUGAUACAUUGGAUGACUAAACGGUCGUCAAUUUUGAAUAAUUUCUUGUAGAGAUGAUCUUCAAAUGAAAAUUAAGAAAUUGAGCGGUUCCGAAUAUGAAAUUUUUAUGAUGAAGAUCUUAGUAGGUUCCAAAUUAACUACAUUAGCUUUUAAGGGAAUUUGUUAUUUACUAGUUAUCUAUCUUUGAUCCUUUUUUUUUUUAAGGCAAGUGCUAACUAAUAAUGUAUUUUUCUAUAUACGACUAAACCACAUCGAACACAUGAAAAAUAAAAAAGAAUCAAAUUUUCCACUAAUAUUUGCUUUAAAAUCUUAUUUGUUUUUUGUCUUAUUUUUUUAUGAGCUUUCCCAAGCUUUCCCGAUUCGUGUGCCCCACUCUCUAAGACCAUUGACUUCAUGUGCGUGUGGGCGAGUAUAAACUUCCAAAUAGUGAUGGUAUCAAGGCGCGAGUGACAGUCGUGUCUACCUAUACUACUCGUGAGGAUGCCGUCUAGCACAAAAGACUAAAGCAACACGCGAUUUUGAAUAAUUUUUUGUAGAGAUGAUCUUUAAAUAAAAUUAGGGCAAAAGACUGUUUACUACCCUCAUGUUUCGUAGUUUUCAACAUUUAGUACAUCAAUUUUUUUUCGUCCCAAAGUCAUACCUAAAGUGUAAAUUUUGGGACAGUCUCAUACAUCUGUUAGUCAAACUGUUAAAUCUGUCGUUAACUGAUGACGUGGUGCUUAUGUGGACAAUGACUGGGCGCCACGUGUCAUUAAGGGGUCCACGUGGAUUUUUUUUUCUUUUUUCAGAAGGGGUUAAAAAAAAAAAAAAAAAAAACUGUCUUCUCCCUCGCUCAUCCCCACACCCUCUCCCUCCCUUUUCUCUUCUGCAACCUGCAAUCUGGGUUCAUGUCUCUGUUUCUUCUUUCCCACACAACACAGAAAAUCACGAUCCUUCCUCUUCCUCCGCCUCUCCCCCUCCCCUUCCUCCUUCGCCGGCGCCGCUCCCCUCCCAGCUUUCUUUUCUCUCUCCCAUCCAAUCCGGCGACCAACCCCUCUUUUCUGUUCUCCCUCUCUGCUAUCCCUUUUCACUUUUUCUUCUGCCUUUUUUGUUCCCUCUUUUCUUUUCUGCCUUCCGUACUCCAGAGCAGACACAGAGGAAUGUUCCAGAACGAGGUUAGUACCGUCAUUUUGCCAGCGAGCUCCGGCGACAAUGGUGGUGGUGGUGAAUCGGAUAGUGUGACAAUCCGAAGGCAUGACCCGAAAUGGAGAGGAGCACUUCGGUGAGGAAACCCCAUACAUCCACCAUAUAUCUGCUCACCUGGUUCGAGACUCCUCCCGCUUAUUCUCCUCUUCCCUCCUUCGCCUAUCGGCCUCACCAGGUGACAUUCCAAGUUCUCCCCAUCCCUCUCUUUAUCUCUCUUUCUCGUUUUGUUCCUUGAUUUGAUGAUUCAUUAUUUGUUUGGUGUUGUUUUGGGGAUUGAUCGUAGUCGUCAGAUGGGGAUCAGAAAGGUGGUGUUUGGAGGGCAGGUGACAGACGAGGAGGUCGGGAGCUUAAACAAACCAUCAGAUCUGCUUCUUCCUGCUUCUGCUUUUCCAAUUCUCCUUCGCAUAUUAUUUUCUGGGUUAUAAUCACUGAGUUAUAAAAUUUGCAAAUUUCACCCAAAAAAAUUGUAUUUUUUAAUCAUUGAGGUAUAAUUUUGAAUUUAUGUAUGGAUUUAUGAUGGGUUUUGUAAGUUUCGUAAAAUGUUAAAUUUGUUUUGUUUUGGGGAAAGUUUGAAUCAUGUUAUGUAGUGAAAAUAUACAGGAUGUGGUAAAAAUAUGUAAUGGAAUGUAAUAUGGAAGACCUCUAACAUUGUUUAAUUAUGAAAUUUCCAGCAAACCUUGUUCAGCGCAUAAGAUGAAGGAGAUCACUGGGAGCGGCAUUUUUGCACAGAAAGCAGAAAACGAUGGAGAGCGAGGGAGGCCGCACCGAGAAGAGGGAAAGGGAGAGGCGCUGGUGAAGGAGGGGGAGGGGGAAGGGGUGGGAGAGAGGUAGAGGAAGAGGAAGGAUCUUGAUUUUCUGUGUUGGGUGGGGAAGAAGAAACAGAGAGAUGAACCCAGAUUGCAGGUUGCAGAAGAGAGAAGGGAGGGAUAGGAUGCAGGGAUGAGGGAGGGAGAAGACAGUUUUUUUUUUUUUUUAACCCCUUCUGAAAAAAGAAAAAAAAAUCCACGUGGACCCCCUUAAUGACACGUGGCGUCCAGUCAUUGUCCACAUAAGCGCCACGUCAUAAGUUAACGGUAGAUUUAACAGUUUGACUAACGGAUGUAUGAGAAUGUCCCAAAAUUUACACUUUAGGUAUGACUCUGGGACGAAAAAAAAUUGAUGCACUAAAUGUUGAAAACCACGAAACAUGAGGAUAGUAAACAGUCUUUUACCCUAAAAAUUAAGAAAUUGAGCGGUUUCGGAGAUGAAAUUUUUAUAAUGAAGAUCUUAGUAGGUUCCAAAUUGACUACAUUAGAUUUUAAGGCAAUUUGUUAUUGACUAGUUAUCUAUCUUUGAUCCUUCUUUCUUUUUUUUUCUUUUUUUUUGAAGGCAAGUGCUAACUAAUAACGUAUUUUUCUAUACACGACUAAACCACAUCGUCUCGAACACAUGAAAAAUUAAAAGGAAUCCAAUUUUCCACGAAAAUUUGCUUUAAAAUCUUAUUGGUUUUUUCUUAUAUUUUUAUGAGCUUUCCCGAGCUUUCCCGAUUCGUGUGCCCCACUCUCUAAGACCAUUGACUUCAUGUGUGCGUGGGCAAGUAUAAACUUCCAAAUAGUGAUGGUAUCAAGGCACGACUGAUAGUCGCACCUACCCGUACUACUCGUGAGGACGCCGUCUAGCACAAAGGACAAAAGCAACACGCGACAGCUUGGCGGCGGUGUCACACUCACCUCAUAUUCCCCUUAAUUAUUGUCAAAUAUGCGUCGUCGCUUCAACAUUGACGUUCUGCAGCCAUUGGAUCCAUGUAUAAUGGGGCCCAAUGGGUUUUGUCAUGGCACGAGACAUACCAAGGGUCUUGAUGUGGGGAUAUAUUGACGGUACAUAAUGAGGCGCAAUAUUCGGAAUAUGGUAGGUGGGUUUAUGGCAAUUACCCUAACUUGCUUGAUUUUAACUUAUUUAUAUGGCCUUGCCCCAUUCUAUGGCACUUUGAUUAUCUUAGUACACAAGAUGCAUCUAGUUUUAGUUUUCACAAUAUUGCAUGUGCGUUACAUGUGUAGUAUUAGUAUAUCGAUUUGAGGAUUUUACAUUAUAGUCGACACCGCAUGAGCGUUACGUGUCUAUAUUUAGAUUUCCACCACUGCAUGUGUAUAUUUUCACUAAUGCAUGUGUAUAACGUGUCUAGAUUUAGAUUUUCACUAAUGCAUGUGCAUAACAUGUCUAAAUUUUCACUUUUGCAUGUGUAUAACGUGUCAAGGUGUACCUAGUAUUAAAUUGUUGUUACGUGAAAAGAAAUUGCAUUCAACGACUAUAUAUAACAAUUAUUCAAAGCGUUUAAUCUCACUGUACUAAUCACGUGAUCCUUGGUAAAAGGGAGAGUUAUAUGUAAGUACUAUAUAAACACUCUCGUUUUUUACUUAUAAGUGAAGAAAAAUGUUACUGAAUUUGAAUCUCGUGGAUGAAGAAUUCGGUAUAAUUGUUUAAAAAAAAGUCUCAUGUUUUCUCAAAUAUAUCUUCUUUUUUUACCAAAUUUUUACUUCACAAUUUAAAGGAUAUUGCUUGCAUUCUUACUUGGAGAAUGCUCUAAUUCCCCCUAGCAAAUAACUUAUCUUCAUCAUUAAAAUUUUAGAAAAACUAAUGGAAAGGGUUUGAAACUUUGAGUUUUAAUCAAAAGGAAAAAAUGUGUUGCAAGUGAAUAGUACCAAGAUUGACUUUUUAGAGUAAAAAUGUCAUUUUCAUUAAAAGUGAACAGUACCGGAGUGUUUCGUUAAAACUCCCUAAAUUUUAAAAUCGGAACUGUUAAAUCUUUUAAUCUUCAUUUAAAGAUCAUUUAUACAAAAAAAAAAUAUCAUUCAAAUCGAAGCUUGUUUAGUCAUCCAAAUGUAACAAACAAACCAAAGGUUCAUCAUGAAAAUACUAUUUUGUACCUAUACAGUUGAUUCAUUUAGAUAUAUUUGAAUGACUAAACGGUCAUCAAUUUUGAAUAAUAUUUGGUAAAGAUGAUCUUCAAAUGAAAAUUAAGAAAUUGAGUGGUUCUAAAUAUGAAAUUUUUAUGAAGGAGAUCUUAGUAAGUUCCAAAUCAACUACAUUAGCUUUUAAGGCAAUUUGUUAUUUACUAGUUAUCUAUCUUUGAUUUUUUGUUUUUGUUUUUUUUUGUUUUUUUUGAAGGCAAGAGCUAAAUAAUAACGUAUUUUUCUAUACACGACUAAACCAUCUUGUCUUGAACACAUGAAAAAUUAAAAAAAAUCCAAUUUCCCACUAAUAUUUGCUUUAAAAUCUUAUUGGUUUUUUCUUUUUUUUUUAUGAGCUUUCUCGACUCGUGUGCCCCACUCUCUAAGACCACUUACUUCUUGUGCACGUAGGCGAGUAUAAACUUCCAAAUAGUGAUGGUAUCAAGGCACAAGUGACAGUUGCGUCUACCCAUACUACUACUCGUGAGGACGCCGUCUAGCACAAAAGACCAAAGCAACACACGACAGCUUGGCGGUGGUGUCACACUCACCUAUAGUCCCCUUAAUUGUUGUCAAAUCUGCACCGUCAUUUCAACAUUGGCGUUCUGCCGCCGUGAGGGGCCCAAUGGGUUUUAUCAUGGCACAGACAUACCAAGGGUCUUGACGUGGGGAUAUAUUGACAGUACAGAAUGAGGCGCAAGAUUCGGAAUAUGGUAGGUGGCUUUAUGGCCAUGACUUGUUGUGUGGGACCAAUUGGUUGCAGCUGCCUUUUAAGAUGAUAGCUUGUUUGGAAUACGCUUUUAAAUGACUGAAUACGUUUUUAAAUGACUAAAUGUUUUUUAAGAUACAAACUUUUUGGAUUUAAUUUUUAGUAAAAAUGUAAAUGUAUUUUGAAAAAAAUAUUUGAAGUGUUUAUUCAUGCAAAAACUUUAAGUACCUUUAGAACCUAAAAAUGUUAUCUCUAAUAACGUUUUAAUCAUUUAAAAACAUUUCCUAAACGAGUCUGGUGUUGUUGAUGAAGGUGGUUUUGUUUUGCUUUGGUAUAGUCAUCACACACUUCAUUCGAUGCUUUAGAGAAGGACUUAUAAAACACUAGUAUAUGUGACAUUUCGUGCCAAUAAAAUAAAAACAUACGUAGUUAUGAUAGUUACGAUUAUUCUCUCUACCUUUGAAAUGCAUUUUCCACAACAUUUUAGAUUCGCAAGCUCAUCUCAGGCGGCCACGGGUCAUAACACACUUUUCGCAUACAAAUCCACUUUAAAGUUGACUUAUUCGCUCAGCCAAUCGUCGGAAUGUAUACAAGAUGCAAUAAGCUCAAUAUCUCUAUAGCACCUUUGUAUAAAGUAUCGAUUAAGACUUCAUAUUUGAAACGUAAGGACGAUCUGUCACUCGAUUCACUUUAAUCUGAUUGUCUUUCUUGAUUCCAAUUACAACGUAUAUAUUUUUGUUUAAAUAUUUUUAUUUCAUUGACACAAGACGCUUUGUGGUGGUGUCGUACCAUGUAAUUUGUUAUUCUACGAUUAACCAAUGUAAUUAUAGACAUUAAUUAAUUUACUCAAAAUGAAAAACCAAAUGAGUGCUUCAUUUGCUAAACAAAUUUAGUUUGUAAUCAAGUUGUAUGGAAGCUUUUUGGAGGCAAUGCAAUAGUCACCACUUAUGUCAAGUGUAUGUAAUUCAUGUAGUUUAAAACGUGUCAUUUAUUCAUUUCAAGAUAAGCUAAUAGUUUCUUUAUUUAUUAAUUUUUUGUCAAAAGAUGAAUUUACUAUGGUACUAUCGAAAUGUUUACAUCUCGUACAAGAAUAUUAAAUAAGAACUUAAGGCCUCUACAAUCCCGACUAUGAGUGCCACCAUUUUUGAUAAAAAAAAGAUGCAACUGCAUCUGCCGGCUUACCUUCACGAGGUUUGUAGGCUACCUUAGCAGAUUCCAAAGACAGAAGAAGGCGCCAAAUAUCAUGGAAGACACUAUGCAUGCAUACAGCGGCAUCCUCCACCUUGUUUAUCAUCUAACAUACAACCCUUGCAUCCGUCUCCACUAUUCACUCUUUCAAUACCCAUGUGAACGCAUCAGGAGGAUUCUUGCUAGAUCUUUUAAUCACGUCCGUUCAUCGUACAUCGUACGGUAAAAAAUUAUUGUAAAUUUUUUUAUUUAAAAUUGAAUAUAAACAGUGUCUAAUAAAAACUGGAUGCACAAUGUACGAUGAACGGAUGUGAUUAAAUGAUCCCUAGAUUCAGGAUCCUCGCUCGUGAACAGAAACUAGCAAGGCUUCUGUAAUCGCCAUUGCUUCACCUGUUGCUGUAUCCUGGAAGAAAAGGCCCCCAAUCCCGCCAGCAAACUGGAGAAUCCCAGCAAAGUCGCGAGCCACCCAACCAAUUCCUCCUUUCUUAGUCUUUGCAACGGGUAUCCUGGAAGAAAAGGCCCCCAAUCCCAACAGCAAACUGGAGAAUCCCAGCAAAGUCGUGAGCCAUCCAACCAAUUCCUCCUUUCUUAGUCUUUGCAACCCAGGCAGCGUCACAAUUAUCUUUAAAAAUCCAAACCUUGAUCUAUGCCAUUUAAUUGGAGGGGUUGCAUUUCUCGGUAAACAGACCGACUGGGUUGCUUUCUUUUCAGCAGGCUUUAACGAGUUGUUGAAUUCCCAUAUUCGUCGAAACUGAUGAACCAAUUUUAUAUUAUAUAUUUUAUCUUAUUCUUAGUAAGUUUUGGUAAUUAUUUUAGUAGAAUUUUGAAACUAUACUUAAUAUUUUCAAUAUAGAACAUUCAAUUUCCUUUUGAGUAAAAUGUGAUCAAACGGACGAAUUUUAGAGUGAUUCAAAUUGGAGGACGUUCGUGUUCGUGUGUCUCUUGGCAUGUUUAUGUCAAAAUUUGGGAUUUUUCUAUUAAACGGUUAUUUUAUGGCAAUGGAAUAAAGAAACAAUGCGCAAUGCUGAAAAGUGAUGUUUAUGGGCUUAAUUGCAAUUUAUGGAGCUCAAGAUGACAUUUGAUGGGUUCGUGGCCUAUUGCAGAAGUGUUCAGAAUAUUCAAAGCUUUAAAUCUAACUAUUUUGGGCUCGUUUUGGAAUAUAUAUGUAGGGCUAGUUCGGUAUGGGAUACCGAACCGAAAAUAGCAUGUCAAGUCCCAAAUCGACUAUUUUUGGGACGAAAAUCUGUCGACCGAUCCCAAACCAAAAUUUGGAUAUUCCCGAAGUUAGGGAUUCCCGAAAUAUUUUCGGUAUUUUGGGAUUUCCCAAAACCGAACUUGAACUCAUCCGAACCUGCAUUAAAACCCCAAUUUAAAAUCAGAGACUAUGAAUGAAUCGUUGAAGAUUGAAGGUCGAAAGAGAGAGAGAGAGAGAGAGAGAGAGAGAGUGAAGAGAUAGUCAGACCUUCGUCUUCCUCCUGAUCCGAGCUCCCAAUUCGAAACCCUAAGCCCCAAUUUGAAACCCUAACCUUAAUUUGAAACCCCACACAUAAAGAAUUGCUGGAGAGAGUAGGAGGUGGGGAUGAAGCAAUGAGGUGUGGUGGUGGCCGGAGUGGAGAGAGUUGAUCGGAGUCAGAUUGUGAGAGGAUAGAUUGGUGGGUAGCCUUUGAGCUUUGAAUUCGAGAUGAGAGACUAAAACUUUGGUGAAGGCAGAGAUGGGAAAGAGUGAGAUGGGAGAGACUUUGUCUAAAGAGUCUUGAGUCUUUGGACAGCACCCAUGUGCUUUUCUGCACACUUUACUUAUUUUAAUAUUAUAUAAUAGGCUAUUCUUGAUAUGUUUACAGUUUGCUUGAAAGAAAUUUAGACAGCUCUUGAUGUGCUUUUCUGCGCACUCUCCUUUUUUUAAUAUUAUAUAAUAGGCUAUUCUUGAUAUGUUUGCAGUUUGCAGUUUGUUCGAUAGAAAUUUAGACAGCUCUUGAUGUGCUUUUUUGUACACUUUGCUUAUUUUAAUAAUAUAUAAUAGAUAUUAAAGUUCGGUUCGGGACUUGGGUUUUCUGCACACAUCAUGUGCUUUCAUACACACUUUUCUGCACCAUUAUAGAUAUUUCUUAAAGUUCGGUUCGGGACUUGGAUACUGAAUGGUGUUAAGAUGUGAGACCGAAUCCCAUACCGAAUAAUUCAGGAUUGGUUCGGUUUUGGUAUUAAAAUUUUCGGGAUUUUUGGUUUGGGCUUUUUUCGAUUUGGUUUCGGUAUGGUUUGGGAUUUUCGGUAUUUUUUUUCCACCCUUACAUCUAUGGGUCCAAAACAUAGCUGUGCAGAUUUUAGGCAAAUUUUCCCUUUUAAUUUAGGGUUAUGUUUCCUAUUGUAUUUUAUUUUAUUUGGUUUCCUAGUUUGAUUGGAAGAUCUUUUAUUAGGAGGAUUUAGUUUAGUAGGUUAAAUAAGCUUGGCCGGCCCGAAUUAUAGUCUUCUUCUUCUCCAUGCGUUCUUUGAGGUCGGGAUCGGCCAAAAAAUGGCCUGCAACCCACGGUCAUUCGUCGGAAAAACUAAGAAAGUUUCCUCUUUUGAUGCUUCUAUGUCCAACCUCAACGAUUCAGAAUCUUAACAUUCUAAUAUGGUUUUUAAUUCACGAAGGAAGAACAACCGGGUGAACCAAGGCUUACCUUGGUCGGGAUUCAUUGAAACUCGCUGAAAAAACCAAAUAUAAAAUAAAGCUCAUUUUGAGCUCCAAGGCACAAUUCAGUUCGCAGAUGUGAGAUGAUGGUAGGCUAGUGGUGUGAUGGCCUGAGGUUCGCCUGCACAACAUGUUCUAUGUGGUGGUGUCUCGAUGAAGGAGAGGGUGCAAAGAGGGAGAGUUAAAGUGAGAAUGAGAACGGGAAAUUGAGGAGGUGAUCUUGGCUGUACAAAGAGGAAAAGAUAAGAGAUGGGGAGUGAGGGUACAAGGCACGAGAAUGACAAAAAAAUGGGAGAGGAAGAGAUUUCUAGAAAGAGAGAUGUCACGGGAGAGAAAGGAGAACACCCCAAAAAUGGGGCAAGAUUUUGCCACGUGUCAGCAAAGGAGAAGUUCCAGAUGUAGAAAUAUCUUCAAUGGUAAAAUUACCCAAAUGCCCUUAUUAUUCCGAUUUCCGUAAAUUCUUCGUCUUAGCUCCAAAUUCGAAUCCAUUUGCACCCAUGCGUUCGUAACGACAAGUACUAUCAAAAUAUGUAAAGAAAACAAAUCUUACAUGACACGACAAGGCGGUCAAUAAAAGUCAACGUUUUUACCUAAAAUGGUAUUUUCGUAAAUUCACACUUUAAAAUUUAUAAAACCAUAAAAUUUGGGUACGGGUCAUUACAUUUGUUUUAGGUAGUGGGGUGGGUCAGAUGAGUCGGAUCUAAGCUUAGAUCCAAAUUGGAACUUACUUUUUCUUUUUCUUAUCAAGUCGGGUCACCGGUUUCUGGAAAAUAUAGUCGAGAAACUUCCACGGCUCGAUCAACCACAAAACUUCACUAAACCUUGCCAUAAUUGAAGCUUAGAGAAUAAGGAAUCGAAAUAUACCAUUGGUUUACUCAACCGUGGCCGAAAAAUGGCUCGAAAUCGCCAUAUCUCCUGUCUGAAAACUGGGUUAAUUUCCAGGGUGUUUUUUGCACUAGAUUGACACCACAACAUGUAUGCAACUAAAAACUGAAAUCAAAACAUCGACUAGGAAGAGAUCGAAGGCAUUUUGAGUCUGACCUCGGUCGGGAAAUUUGAGAACUCAUCGGAGUUCUCCAUCUCCUGUUUCUCAGGUUUGAAUGCGAACUCGAGGGUUUAGUUCGAAUUUCUGAGCUCAAGGAGAGAGAUAGGAAGAGGUGCUAGUUUGGGUUAUAGUGGCAGUGCUUGCCGAAGUGGCGAGGCAGGGUGGUGGUGUCGGUGAAAGGGAGAGUGACAAAGCUGAGGGAAGUGAAAGUAGAGAGAGAAAGAGGAAGUUUGAGAAAGAGAUGAAAGCUGAGAGAGAGAGAGAGAGAAUCUCCAAAAUUGUGGGGAAGAAAACUCCAUGUGGAAGAGAGAGAUAUGAUGAGUAAGGUGGGGGCCCCACAUGCCAAAAUGUUUUUGUAAUAUAAUAAGAGUGUUGUUAAACCCACCCCAUUAUCCUAUUUUCCCACCCACCUUAUUAUCCCACCACCAUAAAAAUUUUAAAAAUUUAAAUCUUAUUUUCUCACCCGCUAUUAUUCCUAAAAUAACCUUUAUACCACCGCAUCUCCAAUGUUAUGUUUCCACCACCAGUCCCUUCCCCUGAACUAACUUUACACCAAAAUCAAGAUUGCAAAUCUCUAACAGUACAAACUGAACAAACCAAAAAAUUUAUCUGGUGAAAGUUUACAACCUUGAAAGCCACAAUCAUUGGUUUUGUUGGAGAGUUGCAGAGAGCAAGAGAUCUGCUUCCUCAAUUCAACUAAUUUCGUUCGAAACGAAAGAAUUAAAUUCAAAAAGUGAAAGUAAAAAAAUUCUAAAGCUGAGAUUUGAUUCAAAUGAGCUGAAAGCUAUCAAAUUAAAGAUGCAAUUCAAAAUUGCAUUAAAACAUUGAAAAGUUAAAAAUUUAUUGGAAAACACUACAAAUUGAUUAACAUAUUUGGAAUUGGAGCCCUAGAAAUCAUAAAAAUGAACAAUGAGAAAUGCUGCCUGCCGACAGAUUCUUGAACUUCUUCCGCCGUUGGAAAAAAUGGAUCUUUCUCUUGGAUGGAGAGAGAUGAAAUGGAAGAGAGAAGAACGGGGAAGAGAGACGGUGGUGGAGAGAAAUGGAUAGGGAUUUAAAAGUCUUUUUCUACAAGGAUAAACAUGUCAUUAACAUUUUCAUUAAACUGUGGGUGGAAAAAUAAGACAAUGGGGUGGGCUUAAUAACACUUUAUAAUAAUAAUAUAACAAAUAUAAAUAAAUAAAAAUUAAAUAUAUGAUGUUGAUGCAUAAAACCGGAAGUCUUGGAACAAUGUAAAUCCAACCGUGAAUCUGCAAGAAAUGUAAAGAACACAGGAUGUAUCGUGGUUCACCCUAAUGUUUGGACUACGUCCACACUGAUAUUGUAUUUAUCUAAGAGGAUUGUGAGGGAGAGAGAGCCUAUAUGUGAGAGUGAGGCUCUAGGAUCUCAAGCCUAAGGAUUGGCCUCUCUCAAUGAGGAGAGUGAGGAGUCAUUUUAUAGAAUAAAGGCUCCUCACUUAUUACAUAUUUGCCCCUUCAUUUAUUACAUAAUUACAUUUGAGUCCCCCGAGUAUUUAUACGAGAUCUAAAUACGGAGGUCCUAAGUAUGGUACAAACAGUAGUCCCUCAAGUCUUCAGUCAAGAGAGUCUUUUGGCUGGAGACUUGAAAUUCAGUUCAUGUGUGGGCCGAAAUAACUAGAUGUCGUCUAGGACUGAUACUCAAUAUGAGGCGGCACUCAAUUUGAAAUGAUGCUCAACUAGAAGUAGCAUAUGUUGCGAUGCUGCUCUGUUUGUGGCUUAUGUUGCCUUGGUUGGCUCGGCUUGUGGCGUUGAAGAUGAGGGAGUCCCUUUUAUAAAAUAAGGACUCGCUCCUCAAUACAUAAAUGAUGGGCUAGAGUUAAUGUUCGCGGCGAAGCGGUUGCUCAGUAGGCGGCGAUGCUCUCUAAUAAUGGUGAGGGAGUCCCUUUUAUAGAAUAAGGGCUCGCUCCUUAAUACAUAAAUGAUGGGUUAGAAGUGAUGCUCGCGGCGAGGCGGUUGCUCAGUUGGCGGCGAUGCUCUCUGAUGAAGGUGAUGGAGUCCAUUUAUAGAAUAAGGGCUCGCUCCUUAAUACAUAAGUGAGGGAGUCAUUUUUAUAGAAUAAGAGCUCGCUCCUCAAUACAUAAAUAAUGGGCUAAGUCCCCCAAGUAUUUUUCAUGAGGCCCAGUUGAGGCCCAAUAUAUGGUACAUAAUGUAGUCCCCCAAGUCUUCGGUCAAUAAAGUCUGUUGGCUAGAGACUUCAAAUUGAAUCCAUGUAUAGGCCGAAAUGGCGGUUGUUCGGAGGCAAUCUUUGUAGACCAUACACUGAAACUUUGUAGGUGAAGCUCUGUAAAUGAAGUUUUAGAAGCUGGAGCUUUUGUAAAUGAAGCUUUUGAAGCUAGAGCUCUGUAAAUGAAGCUUUUGAAGCUGAUUGACAUGAGUGAUGCUAAUGAAUGUUUUUGUUGAUUGACAUGAGUGAUGCUCAUGGAUGUUGACAUGAGUGAUGCUCAUGAAUGUUGACAUGAAUGAUGAUCAUGAAUGUUUACGUAUGAUUGACAUGAGUAAUGCUCAUGUAUAAUUUUGGAGUACUUGACGUACUUUUGAUCACCUGGUUAGUGAUAAUAGCGGCAGGGUGCCAAAUAAUUUUGGAGUACUGGGCGUACUUUUGAUCACCUGAUUGGUGGUAAUAGUGGCAGGCUGCCGAAUAAUUUUUUGUAGUACUAGACGUACUUUUGGUCACCUGGUUGGUGCUAAUAGCGGUAGGCUGCCGAAUAAUUUUGGAGUACUGGCCGUACUUUUGAUCACCUGGUUGGUGGUAAUAAUGGCAGACUGCCGAAUAAUAAUUUUUUGUAGUACUGGACAUACUUUUGGUCACUUAAUUGGUGCUAUUUUGAUUUUGGGCUUAUGGGCCUUCGCCCUCCACACAACAUUCCAGCCCAUUUAUUUUGGGCUUUGCCGUUUUUUUAUUACCUUCUGAUGGGGUUAUACAGAUGUCUCCAAAAGAUAAGAAAAAUAAAUUACAUCAUUCUGGUGGGGUGUUUAUUCCUUACUUUUGCAGUGUCCCCAUGUGCCUCCCCUUUGCUUUCUCUUUAUUUUUCUCUCUUUUGGCAGAUAACAGACAAGGGAAUAAUGCCAUUUCCUUUUUUUGCUUUUGCUUUUGCUUUGCAUCUUUGUUGCUUUUGUUUUUCUGCUUUUAUCAUUGCGUCUCUGAUUUCUUGAGUAUGGGGUCCUCCUUCUCGAGCACAUUCUUACCAUUUUCAUUGUCAGUGGUGUUAUCCUGCUCAUUCUGUUUUUCUUUUUCUUUUGGCAGAUGGCAGAUAAUUAUUUUAUGCCUGUCUUCCACUGUUGUCUUCCACUCUGGAGUUCACUCCAUCAGCUCCAAUCACCCAUUGAACAACUCCCCGCAUUCUGGACGUUGCUGACGUUGAAGCCCUUGGCGAGCACAAGCAGAACAAUACUUGCAAGCUUCGAAAUUGGCACACUUCCUACCCUCCGAAAAAGGAGAAAAAACCCGCGUUUCUUGGGCUCUUCCUCCACCAUGACAGCAUGCAUAUUGUCCUGCUCAACAAGCCUCCAGGCCGCCUGCUCGAAAGCCAGCCCUGCCAAUGUGGGCGGCCUGUUCAAAACCAGAUGGUACCUUCUGUUGGUGCUUAUGAUGACCUCCGUAUCCUCCGGAAUCAUCCCCAACAAUGCCAGUCCCAACAUCUCCUACACAUCCAGCAUCGACAUCAUGUCUUCCCCUUUGAUCAUGUCCGUUCAAACCCGGUUCACCAUCAUCUUAAUAUCCCUUAUUUUGUCACACUCCAGCAGCCCAAUGACCCUGUCAGCGUCUUUUAAGCUCGUAAUGUCCGGCGUGGUCACCAGAACGGCCUCAUUAGCCGGCGUAAUGGAGGUGAUGAACCCAGUGUCCAUGCCUGCCGGGCAAUCGAUGAGAAUAAAGUCCGGGAAGCCUUCUUGCCUGGCUUUCAAGGCGUCGAUGACCCAGACCAAGGCUUUGCCGUCGAAACCCUAUCAAUAAUUUGGACUGGGGCUUCGAGAUACAGAGCAAUUCAAAGUUGGACCAGCGCUUGUCCCUGACGAGGGCCUGGUCGAGGCGGCAGUCGCCGUUGAGGACCUCGACGAUGGUGUAGUUGACACGAUUCUCGGGGCCAAGGAGGAGGUCGAGGUUACGGAGGUUGAUGUCGACGUCGAUGACGAUAACAGAAAAGCCGAGGCGGACGAGGAAGAGGCCAACAUUGGCGAUGGUGGUGGUCUUGCUGACGCUGCCUUUUCUAGAGGUGAUGACGACGACGCGAUGGGGUGUCGCCGGACAACUAGGGCUUCUUGUUGUAUUGAAGGACUGCGCGGACUGUGAAGGGAGAAGAAAGAUUAGGUUUUGGGUUUAAAAGCGUUUAGUGGGUUUGCGGUAGUGAGGAAGAAGGAGGUGGAUGAAGAGGGCUUGGGGUGAAGGAUGGUGGGGAGGAGUUGAAGAGAGACAAAAAUUGAGUGAUGAGAGAGAAUGUGUGUGUCUGUGUCUCUGUGGGUUUUGCAGAAUCACGACGGAGGUGAAAAAAUGAAAGAGAACCGGCAUAACUUUUCGUAUCGUUUCUCACAGACGGCGCCAAAUGUUGAUGCACAAAACCGGAGGUCUUGGAACAACGUAAAUCCGACCGUGAAUCUGCAAGAAAUGUAAAGAACACAGGAUGUAUCGUGGUUCACCCCAAUGUUUGGGCUAUGUCCACACUGAUAUUGUAUUUCUCUGAAAGGAUUGUGAGGGAGAGAGAGAGAGCCUAUACGUGAGAGUGAGGCUCUAGGAUCCCAUGCCUAAGGAUUGGCCUCUCUCAAUGAGGAGAGUGAGAGGUCAUUUUAUAGAAUAAGGGCUCAUCACUUAUUACAUAUUUGCUCCUUCAUUUAUUACAUAAUUACAUUUGAGUCCCCCGAAUAUUUAUACGAGAUCUAAAUACGAAUGCCCUAAGUAUGGUACAAACAUAUGAAAUAUAAAAUAGAAAUUUUUACAAAAUUAUUUUUCGAAUUCGUAGUUUCGUAAAACCUCAAUCGUAACUCCAAUUUCGAUUCUGCUUGCGCCUACACGUUCAUAUCGUUGAGUACUUCGAGAAUACAAUAAAAUAACGGGUCAUACGUCCCUCUAAAUGAUGGUUAAUGGAAGGCGAGAUCCUUGCCUCUAGGGCAUUUUUGUCAUUUUACUAUUUUAAAAUUAAUAAAAUUGUAAAAUUAGGGAUGGGUAGUUACAAUUUAGUUGUUCAAAAUCCAUAUUUUUAUGUUCCCACGCAUCACCACACGUGUUGCCAUGCACGGUGCACAAUUAUUCGACUAACUCUAAAUUUUAUCAAAUUUUACAGGCAUGUAGAGCUGAACAAGAGCAAUAACUUUUAUACCUGCUGUGGAGCCAAAAAUAAUUUCAAAAUUCAUGAAGCUGACAAGUGAAAUAUUUUCCAAGAAAGACAAGAUUGCCCCUAUUAAAUGAGCAGGGAGCAACCUUAUUCACCACGCACAUCUGAGGUAGACCAAAGAUUAACAACUGCUCAAGGCACCCCUACCUGUAAGAAAAGUCAAAGGUAUUUAUGAUAAAAUAAUCCCUUAUUCUUAUCAUAAAUACAUUCCUAAUCAGAGAAAACCUCCUUCAAGUAAGUAAUCCUAAUCCUAUUUAUUUAAGAUAUUUACCUACUUAGUCCAAGUGACACACCCCGACCCGGAAUGUCCACUAGGACUCCGAAUCAAGCUGUGCUGGUCGACACCUGGAAUGUGACGAAGCCAUAAAGUGUGAUGGUGUGGAAAAUUGUGAAUAAAUUUAAACCUUAGAGUGCCUAAAUACCAGAGUGCACUGGUGACUAGAGAUGAACCCACUUCACACGUGAUGUUAGAGCAUAAGCAAGUACAGAAAAAUGAUAUAAGAAUCGUACCCUCAAAAUAGUCUUUGAUACUAAGAAUCGCCGUGAGUCUUUGGUGAUAAUAAAACUCAGCUAAUAAUACCUAGAGGGUGAAGACAAGACAAAGCUGAGUGGCCAUGUAAGUAAAUUACUAAUAAAAAACAUAUAACACAUGUAAUCCCUCGUUACAACACCUGUAUAAUUUCCAAAGAAAUCAUAAUGUACCACCACACAACAUCUCGACAAUAAUAUCAAAUAAUCAUACGAUUAAUAUCUCAUAAUAGUACGCAAGUCGAAGUCACCUCUAGUGACCUAUACGACAUAUUCAUAUCUCAUCACAUAUCUCAUCAAUCAUGGCUAGCAUAUAAGUCAGAGUCACCUCUAUUGACCUAUACGACAUAUUCAUAUCUCAUCACAUAUAUCAUCAAUCAUGGCUAGCAUAUAAGUCGGAGUCACUUCUAGUGACCUAUACGACAUAUUCAUAUCUCAUCACAUAUCUCUCAUCACAUAUCUCAUCAAUCAUGGCUAGCAUAUAAGUCGGAGUCACCUCUAUUGACCUAUACGACAUAUUCAUAUCUCAUCAAUCAUUGCUAUCAUAUAAGUCGGAGUCACCUCUAGUGUCGGAGUCACCCCUAGUGACCUAUACGACAUAUUCAUAUCUCAUCACAUAUCUCAUCAAUCAUGGCUAGCAUAUAAGUCGGAGUCACCUCUAGUGACCUAUACGACAUAUUCAUAUCUUAUCACAUAUCUCAUCAAACAUGGCUAGCAUAUAAGUUGGAGUCACUUCUAGUGACCUAUACGACAUAUUCAUAUCUCAUCGCAUAUCUCAUCAAUCAUGCUAAUACCGUAUACUUACUUGAAUUUACUUAAACUUACCUGAACUUACCUGAAUGUCCUACGUUCACCUUUGCACUUCGGAGCGUUCACAGCAACACAACCAAUUCAUAUACAAAUUAUAAACUUAUAUGCAUGGCAUUCAAGGCAUAAUCUCAUUUAAACAUAUUUCUGGGAAAAUAUCAAGUGUAUACAUAUAUACUUAAAACCAAAAGCCCAUACAUAUUGCUUAAUUCCUUAAACAAGGCUAUGGUCUCGGUUAUUUAAUCUCAUUUCUUAUAUGGCUGCAUCUAACGUCUCAUUAGACUGCCUACGUACCCUAAACAGGGAUCAAGCCAUUCGUAGUUCACAAUAAUCAUUUAUAGUAAUACGCAUAUGGAUAGAUCACGAUGAAAUCUAACUCAACCAUCUCAUAGUAUUUUAUAACAUAUAAAUAUAUAUAUAUGUCAUGGCAUAAGUUUCUCAGUUUUAUUUAAAAGCAUUUAUAGAAUUAUCAAUCAUUAAACAUAAGAUGAGCAAUGAAAGAUCCACUCACCUGGAGUCCGUGCUACAACUUCCUAGCACAACUAUCGGGGCGUCCCGAGCGAUCGGCGCCUGCGGCCAAUUAUCAACCACAUCUCAGAAUCCUCAUCAAUAGAAUACGUAAUUCACAUAAAACACAUCCUCAAGGACAUUCUAAAAUAGUUUGAGACCCAUUGACCAUAAGUCAAUCAUUGAUCAAAGAUCGACGGUGGGGUCUACAACCCUGUAUAACUCGAUCCGGAAGAUCUGUAUAUUAUAUUUUCAAUCCGCAACUUAAAGAUCCACUUUAUGCUUCUAGAAUAACAUACUAAAAUUUCAUUGCGAUCCAACGGUUGGAUCUCCGCCAAUUGCCCAAAACCAAGUGGCGGUUAACAUUUAUUUUAUAAACUUACACAUCUAAUUCGGGAAGAUCCGUAUGUCGGAUUCCUGAUCUGUAAGUUUCUGUGGUCCUCAAAUAUUACGUACUAUAAUGUAUUAAAGUUUGGUGAUGAUCCAACGGUCGGAUCGUCGAUUACUAUCUAAUCAAGUGGUGGACCUUAAUGGGACUUUGCUUGAUUCUGCAGUUUUUGCAGAUUUCCUGGGCGAUCUUUGGAACUCCAUAUAUCACUUGUUUCUCAACCAAAUUCAACCCAUAAUAUACCAAAUCAAAGCUAGAGAAAUGUAGAACAAGAUUUUACCAGCUUGGAGUCCAAUUGUGGCCGGAGGUGGCCGAAAAAUGGUUUGAAAAACGGCUGUCUGCGAGAAAACUGGUAACUCGAUGGAAUUUCUUAGCAACCUUUCAACGUCCAUAACUUUGUCAAUACUCAACGCAAAUAAGUGAUUCAGAAACGAAAAUCAUAGUUCUCAAUGGGACGAAGAAAUUGGUACCUUACACGAUGGCUAUCUAGCCGUGAUUUGGCUGGAAAGCGCCUCGAAAGUGGCGGAGGUCUCUGGAAACUGGGCAAACUUUAAAUCGUUAUAACUUUCUCAUUUCUCCACCAAAUCACGAUCCAAACAUGAAAAUUCAUCUACACAACAUGAGGAAUCGAUUUAUACCUGUGACCCAGGCCAAAUAGGCCGGGAAGAGCUUUAAUUUUGUUAAAACCCGUCGGUAAUGCUAUACUUGGGUGAACUUCGAUUCUUUUUCCUCGGUGCUCCAACGGGGUCAAGGCUGGUCGUGAUUUUCUCCUGGGAUCAUGGGCUACAAAGCCCAAGUAGUGGUGUCGGCCAUUGCUUUGCCAAUUCGCCGGAAAAAUGAAAAGGGUGGCCGGAACACCAUUGGUUUUCAUCGGUUUUUGUGGCCUCGAACCGCCACGUACAGGGGUUAACCAAGAUGGUUCUUGGGUGGGUUUUGUAAAGGGGAAUGAUAGCUUCAAGAUGGUGGUGGUGGCUUCGAAAAACUCCACCGGAGUUGAUUGGAAUCAGCCUUGGAAAAUGGGUGGCCGUGAGUGGAAAAACCCACGGGAAAGCUCCAGCUUUCCCCUUUUUUUCUUUUUUUGAUUGGCUGGAGGCUUUGUCCUUUUUUUAUGUGAUUGGUUCCCUUUUCUCUUUGCUUAAAGGUUGAUUGGUUAGUCUUCCCACAAGGUAGGAGUUCAAAUAAUUUAACUACCUUUAAAUAACCAACUUCAAACGUUCAUAACUAUACCGUUAUAAUUUGGACUCGCAAACGACUUUCGCCUAUGCGUUCGUAGUGACGAGUACUACGAGGAUAUGCUAAAAGAAUAAGUCAUACGUCACUCUAACCGAUGAUCCGCAAAAGUCAAAGUCCUUGCCUCUAGGGCAUUUUCGUAAAUUCACACUUCUAAAAUUAAUAAAAACGUAAAAUUUGGGACGGGCUGUCACACCAAGAUAAUUUCUUGGAAUAUUCUCACCCAAAUUCCACCCUAGGGUCGACCACCCCUAAACCCUAGAAGGGCGGCCCAUCUUAUCCUCUUCUCCUAUAAAUACUUCAUUUAUCUCCAAAAUUUAGUAAGCUUUAGCUACCCUUAAUGAGGCUUUUUGCUUCCGACAAACACUUAAACACAUGCUUUAUAGAAUUCUAACUUUGGCAUCGGAGAUUCUUCGGCUAACGCCCCCCAUUCAUUGUAGGCGUGUGAGGCUUUUGACCUUAAUCUUAGGUGUUAUUAUUUUGCAGGUGCAGGUUCGUCAAUCCAGGAAAGGCCGAAAUUUGCAUCCAUAAAUUGGUGCUUUCAUUGAAAGCUCUGAUAUGAAGACUCGAAGAAGACUCUCACUUUCAACUUCCUUCGUUUGUAGAUCCACGACUACGAUGGCAAGAAAUUCAGAAACUACAGCUAAUGAGACCUUCUACGUUGAAGGACAUGGACCAACCAAUGGAGAUCGCGACGUGGUUCCACGUCGUCGCUCCUCUAGGCUCACCAUGUCGUCGCUGCGGGUGACUGAAACUUAAUGGCGUCGAUCCGCCGCCUACUAUGGUACAACAACAUCAGGAAUGGUCGGGUUUUACUCCUAGGAUGAAGAGCUACAAAGCCUAAGUGGUGACAUUGGUCGCCACUUUGCGAAUUUACCAAAACAAUGGAAAAAUAGUUGUCAAACUCGUUGGAACGGUUUAGGAAACCUCAAACUUGGUGGUCUCGCACCACCACAUGUGGUAGUUUGUCAUUGUGGGUCUUGGAUAGGUUUUGUAUAGCGAAGUCAAAGCUUCACGAUAGGGGUUGUGGCUUCAAAAAAUCCUGUUAAAGUUGGCAGGGAUUCGCCUUGGAAGUUGUGGUGUUGAAACGGGUUGGUUAGGAGAAAUCAGAUCAGUGGAAUUCGUCUUAGGUUCUUUGCUAAAUUUCCAUUUCUGGAAACUUUCUAUUUUUGGGCAUAGUUUCAGAAAUCCAAAAAUGGAACUUACUAUUUAUAGUAAGUCUAAAUUACCAAACUACCCCUACUUUUGAGGCUCACAACUUAUUCUUUUCAACUUCGAUUCACAAAGGUUUUCGCCUAAAUACUCGUGGGAUCGAGCUCUAUCCAAUUCUAAACCCACCUUCAAAAGUAACAGUUAAAAUGACCAAAACGCCUUGAAAAUUGUUUUUUUCUCAAAAUGUAAAAUAAAUUUCAAUACAGGAUAUCACAAUGGCAAUGACGGUGCUAGUGAUGGCGGUAGUGGUGUAAUGUUUGUGGUUGCAAUCGUAGGUGGUGACGAAUAUCAAGGCAAUAGCGAUAAGACCGACAAUGAUGAUAGGGAUGGCAACAAUACUUGUAAGAGUAUAAUGAUGGUGCCAAUAGUGGGGUGUGAUGGUUUGGGUGUAGAGGUGACAAUGGUGGUAAAGGCCGUGGCAACAGUGGUGGCAGUUGUGCUUGUAGUGGUGGUGAUGGUGGUGGUGGUGACGAUUAUGGCGAUGGUAACGACAACGAUGGUGAUAGUAAUGGUAGUUAUGGUUGUGGUGGUAAUGAUGGUGUGGUGGCAGUUGCGAUGGCAGUAACGGUGGUGGUGGUGCCAGUCACUUUGUUCUUGAGGAGAGAAAAUGUAUGUAAAAGAAUAAUAAUGUCAUAUUAAAAAUUAAUGAGCGUAUUUUAAAAAACUGUUGUUUGGAGGCUAUUAUUUUGGUGAAAAAAGUAAUACCAAACGUGACCUUAGAUCUGAUUAAAUAAUCAAUUUUACUUAUGGAAAUGAUUAACUCAAUAUGAAAAUAGUUAAAUAACAGACCUUGACCGGAGUCGAGGCAUGCUGGCCGUUACCCGAAAGUGACAUAACCAAAAGUGUGAGUGAUGUAAAAAAAUGUGAAUGAAUUAAAACCAAAACUAGAACUAAUUUAAACUAAUAAACUAGAACCCAUAUAAUACAAAUAUUCAGAGCAUAGAUGAUAAAAGAGUGUGCAGUCGAAACUAGUUAAGUACUUAGUACACAACAAAAUAAGUUUCUACACUUAAACAGGGAUAUAUCAGAAUCGCCGGCUAAACCUCAUAAGCCAUAGAGUAAUUCUGAUAUCUAGGACCUGGAGGGGCGAAAAACAAAAGGAUGAGCUGGCACAAAAACAAAGGUUUAUAAAACACAUUUAUUUUUCAGAACAUACUGACCCGUCGCUGUAAAACAUGUAUAGUUUCCAUAAAAUCAUAUUACGUAUAAGUAUGAAAACAACUAUAAUUAAACAAUAAUGCUAGACAACGCCAAACUACAAUAUUUCAACAAUAGCAUAAUAAAAACAGGUUGCUCAUCAAUCUACGCUAGCAUACGAGUUCAUGCAGAUAGUUUCUAACAUGAACAAGACUGGGGUGUAAUAUAUAAGUACGCUCUAGUGUUACAAUCACGUGAAGACUAGUGAUAAUCACGAUCAGCUAUGAGUUGGAGUUGCCUAAUGCAACCUGUACGACAAGACUGACACCUACUUGGAUCCAAGGCGAGUGUGCGGUGCAGAGGUGAACAUACACGUGAAAGACUAGCCCUGGCCCCGGGCGAGCACUAACACCGGGGUGCAACAAUGAUGAGCAUACUACAUGCAUAAAUAUAAACAUGCCAUAACCACUCACUGAUACGUGGUCGGAUCUUAGCCUUCUAGCCUUGCUUGACCUUGUAAGUCCUCUGGAUAAUUUUCAUCUAUAUGUGAAAUAACGAAACUAAUAAAUUAAAUAGGACAUAUUAAAAAAGGCUAGGUAAAUCUCCCAUACUUUGCUCAAACGGAAGGUUUGAAUAUAUGAAAAUUAUCUACAUGAAGUCACAGAUUCAUAUGUGUCAAGCAUUCGCCGGCUAGAGGUUGGACGCGCCGUCUAGCCCACGACCACACGCGCCUGGUAGCAACUGACGAAACCAAGGAAUAUUUCGUUAAACAGUUAACGAAACUUAAUGGCUUUACCUGACACCGUUAGAAUAUUCCGUCAACUUUGACGAAAUAUUCUUCGUCUUUUCCGAUGAGCCUCGUCAUCUGCCGCCGUCUGGUUGGUCAAUUUUUGGAAAUUUUGCCGGUUUUUGGGAAAAUUUUCAAAAUCGCAUAUCUUCUUCCUUUCUCGACCAUUUUCGAUGAAAUUUAUAUGGAAGUGAAGUUGGAGAAGGGAAGAACAAGUUUGUAACUUUUGGAAGUCCAAAAAUGGAUGGGAAAUGGCUUGAAAAAGCCUUGAAAGGUUCGGAUCUAAACUCGUAGCCUCGAAACUGUGCUUGUAGACGUUGGUUCUUCUUCAAACUUGUACUAGGAGCCUCGGGAAGUUGAAAUGGUGCUUCCACAACCUUCAAAACAUCGUAACUCAGUCAGGAUCACGUCAGAGCAAACUUGUUCGAGUCGGAGCUUCCGAAUUGGUGAGUCCAAACUCGUCCACUUCGUGAUCGAUGAGUACGGCUGGGUUUGUGAGUUCGAGAAGAGUACAAUGAUGGGGUUUAUGAGCUAGAUCUGAGAAGUAUGUUGGUGUUGUAUGAGUUUGCAGAGGGAAGGAGCUCGGGCAAGGGAGAGAGAAGAGAGAGAUGAUGAGUGUGUUCUGAUUGGGGGAUAGAAGUGAAGAGAGCAUCUGAUUAGUUGAGAGGGUUUUAAGGGAAAAUGAGUGAAUGUGAGGGAUUUGAGGGCACACAAGACAAUUUUUAAAAGAAGAAAAUGAUAAGGUUUGGUACACUUUCCAGAUUAAGAAAUUUGUCCCCUUAUCAAAAAUAGUGUUUCUAGCAUUGAAAAAUUAACACGCACGCAUGUACAAUUCUACCUGUUGUUAAAGUACUUUAACUGAGCGUAACAUUUUUGUUACAGCUCUGAUUUGCGUCUAACUUGUGCUCACGAGUUCGUAACGAUGAGUAGUAUUUAAUUACGCUACUAGGAAAAAUAAAAUAAACGCUGAAUAAUACAUCCACGUCACUUUGUCCACAAUGGCAGAAAUAUCAAUUUACACACUUGGGGGAAAUUACAUAGAAAAUUAGGGAUAGGUUGUCACAUUAAAAAUAUGUAAUCUACAUAUGUUGACAUUUCUAAAUAUAUAGUUUUGUUACAUAAUUGUAUUAUACAUGCGCGUAUAAAACAUAUUAGUUUUUCAAUGCGUUAUUGGGAAUAAAAAUGUUAAUUUUUUUUUUUAACAAAUGAUAUUAUCUACAUUAAAAGGGUGGAGGAGUAGGUUAAGUCUCAUAAUGGGUUACCAAUAAUGUAGUUCAAAUUCAUCUUUGGUGAGAAUUAAACCUAAGACAUCUCACUUACAAGCGAAAAGGAAUACUACUAGACCGUAGUACUAAGAGCAUCUCUAAAGGAGAUGUUAAAAUAUCCACAUAAGCUAUAACAAUAAUAAAAGACCACACUAAUAUUCUCCAACUAAGAUGCUAAUUCCUACGUGGAGCUGACAUGGAUUGGCGGCAAAGAGGUUGUUGUCAAAUUUGACAAUAGCUUCAAAUAUUUUUAAUUAAUUAUUAAAUGUCUUUUAUUAAUUUUUUAUUGGUUUAAUAAUUAUUAUAAUUAAUGUUGAAUGUUGACAUGCAUUUGUUUAGGAAUGAGAAUCCUCCCGGAUCCUUCUAUUGGUGCCAAUUUAAUAAUUAAUUAAAUGUUAUUUAAUAAUUUUUUAUUGAUUUAACCAUUUAUGUUAUAAUGAAUAAAAUAAUAAUUUCAUCUGACAUAUCGGGUGUAGAAUAAAAUUUAAAAGAUGUCAAAAUACCAAAUAAGCCAUCAAAUUCAAAAUUUUCUCUUUUGAAGAUGGUCUAAAUAGCCACAUAAAUAUUUUAUUUACGUAUUAUUCUUAUCUUCUUUUUUAUUAAAUAUGAUAAAUAAAAAAAAAUACUUUAGUGUCAUUUCUUUUAUAGAUAAUAGAAAGAGCAAGAGUUAGAGGCAACCAAGCAGCUAUUAGGAUAAUAUGGUCCAAAACAUACAUUCCUUGAACACCAUGACCAGGGUCAUUAAUUACAUCAACGAGGAAGUUUCCAAGAAAUACCUAAAGAUUGCACCGAAAGUCUAAUGUCUUCGAUGAUGUGCUUGAGUCCCCAAUAAAUAUUACAAUUAUCACCAACAACAUCCAAAACAAGUUUAGAAUCCUCUUCCACUAUAAGUUUAUGAAUUACAAGUUUAUGAAUUACUCUAUAAAGAUCGUGUCUGCAAAAAAUCAAUUAAAAUUAGGAUCACUUAAUUAUCAAAUUAUAGAAGAACAGAUGGACGGAAAUGAUAAAAGCAUUACAAAUUGCCUAUCUAUUUGCAACAGUUGAUCAGCUUAACGACCUUAGUUUCAAUUCAUUUUUUACAUAGAUGAUCUUUAGAGAGUGAUUUAUGUUAUGAACGGUUUCAAUUAUAAGCACAAAGUUAUGUGAAUCAGACAUAGACAAUUUUGAGUAGGAGCUCCUACUCAUCUUUGAGUAGCCAAACACUGCUAAAAAGAAAUAACAUUGUGUUAUAAAAAGAGAAAUUAAAAUUGAUUGGUAGUUGUUUACCAAUUAAUUUGUGGUUAUUUUUUUUUAGUUUAUGUUAGAAGAAAUUGAUUGUUUUACUUUACUAGCCCUCACCACUCAAGUUAAACCAAAAAAUUUGUGGAAUUUUCUUAAUAAAAUUCUUAACAAUAGUGCAUAUGUGCACAAAAUUUUUUUUCGACAAGAUAUGCAUAAAUUGGUUUCAGAAAUAAUCAUAACUAUUUUAUUUUAUGGGAAAUAAACUUCAUUAAAGAACGAAACAUCUGUUACAACCGUUGUCAAUACAAUCAAAAUGAAAAGCCGAAAGAAUAGCGUUCGGUAAACAAUAAUCCCAAACAUGAGGAUUCGGCAAGGAAAGUCCAAUAUGAGCUAAAGAAUCCACCACAAAAUUAAGCUCCCUGAAGAUGUGCUACCAGUCAAUGUGUUGACAACUGUUGUUACUUGUAGAGGCUUGUCGAGGGUGGAUGGAUGAUAUUGUUGAGUAAUGUUGAAGACUACCAAGACUUUUCAACUAAACUAUUUCAUACAAGAGGAGAAAAAAGGAAGACAAAUAUGAUAAAAGAAAAUAGAAAAAGUAAGAAGAGGAGGUUGUAAUUUAGUUUGUCUUAACUAUUUAUAGAUGUCAAAUAUAAUAUAAACAAAUAUACGGAAAGUUUUUGAAGUUAUUAUAGUAAAAAACAACUAAUAACUCUAUGCUAAACUCCGCCACUAAAACUAAUACGCCAUGACAUCUCCCAAUGACCAUGCACAACUUCAAUAAUCAUAACUAACGAAUCCCAAAAAACUUGUGGUUAUUUGUUUUGAUAUUUAAAUUCUCCCUUUUUUUGGCGGGUAAAGAGAAAUGGAACAAAAAUCAAAUCCCGGAAAUGAGCCCAAGACAAAAUGGUAUUCAGAAAUAAUCAUAACUAAUAAAUAUUUGCAAAAAUACCCUUCAUUGUUAUCAUUUUUGCCAAUUCUCCCAAAGUCCUUCCCUCCUCCUGUCUCUGUGUCUCUCGAGUCUGUUCACUCUUCCGUUUCUCCUCUCAAGAAGAAACAUUUGCCAAAUCACUGUCUUUCACUGGCUGCCUGCAACUUGCUCAUAGUACGACGCGUAUCAUCAAUGGCUACUGACAUGGAAAAUUGAACCUUUGGGUAGGCGAACAAUUGGGCUGUGAAGCAGGGGUCGGGUGGUAUCAUUUGGCUUCCAGUUGACGAUCUGAUCGGCGACGGCAGCCGGUUCGUCUGUUCCGGUGACCUAGCUCGCGAACCCUUUCGUGCUUUCCCGAUCGCCUGUCGGGAGGUAAAUCUGACGAACCUUGCGACAUUUGAAUUAUGAGUUUCUGAAUUUUGGCUAAAUUGGAUUUUUGUUUUUGCUGUUGGAGAUUUUGAUUUUGGGUUGUUGAUUUGGUGAAAUUUAAGAUUUUUUUGAGGAAAAAGGGGAUCUGGGUACUUGAUUUCAGACUUUAAGUGAUCAAUGGCGGCUCUUGUGCGUCCCCCAGGGGCACCUAGGCCCAAUAACAGUAACACUAACACCCCACCAGCCUCUAAUUACAAUCCUAACAAUGCUCAGAGGAACCCUGAUUCGUUAGCGGAUAAUAUGCAGAAUUUGAAUCUUAAUAGGCAGCCUUCCAUGCCUAAUUCUGCCCCUAGACCAUCCCCUUUUGGCCAAGCACCAACUUUUCAUUCAUCAGCCCCUCCUGCUGGGGCUCCUGUUGCACCUCCCCCUUUUUCAUUGCCUGGUCGUCCCCCAGCUGCACUUGCAAGACCUACAGCACCCCAAUCAGGUCCCCCGCAACCUACAUUAUUCCCUGUCACCACCCCAGCAAGGCCAACUGGGCCGCCUGUUGGCCAGCCUUCGUCUUUUGUGUCUAGACUGCCUCCGGGAUCGUUUCCCCCUUUGGGCGGUGUAGCUCCAGCAUCUGGUCCUUUUCAGACGUCAGGUUUACCGAGUGGUCCAGUUUCAGUACCACCACCAGCAUCAGAUCCUCGCCCAGGUCCUGGUUCUUUUCCUUUGGGUAGCGGUCAGAGCAUGCUCCCUACGACUGCACCAGGUAGAUUGAUGAAUAAUGGGCCACCGGUGUUUGGUUCUGGAGCUAUGCUGAGCGGGCCCUGUUACCCUACCAGUGGAAAUGUACCUCAACCACCUUUUGGACAUCCACCAGCAGUGGCAACGGCAACAGGUCCUCCUCGAACACCAACCAUGCACUCUAUGCUGGGCAGUCCAGCAGUUACUGCUCCACCAGGUCCUGUUCAGCAGGCACCACCAUUUUCAGCAGCAGCACCACCAAUUUCAGUGGCACCACCUUUUUCAGUGGCACCACCAUUUUCUGCAGCACCUCCAAGCAUGCAGGCACCUCCGGGUUCUCCCAUGUGAGUGACUUGUACUAUUUUUGAAGUACAUGGAUAUACCAAAUUUCAUAUUAUUGAGUUAGCUGAAAUAAUCCAAAGUGGACAUAUGAUGUAAAAAGCUAAGGUGUAUAUCAAACGGAAAAACUACCCAGGUGUACUGGCAACUACUAUUACUUUUAUGAAGUGAUUGAAACUUGUUUCUACGCAAGCCAACAAAAUCUAAUAUUAACUGGAAAUAGAUAGAUCUUUUUCCUGCUUCAGUACACGUGUUUAUUAUAUCUUAGUAGCAGACCCAAAGAAAAGGAAGUGCACUUAGUGGUCGAUGUGUGUGAGUGUAGUUGCACAUACUAGCUUGCAGUGUGCACCGCUGUGUAUGCUUGUCAUCACAAUCCUCCGCUCUCUGUUUAAGUGAAGAACACUCUUUCUAGUGGAUGCUUUCAAGCUUUUUGUUUACAGCAUCUGUAAUACAAUAGUAUAAUCACAACCCUUUUGAGCCAAUUCUUAUAAGCAUCAGUAUUAGUUAUUUUCUAUAAUAUUUGUUCUCAAACAUGAUUUCACAUAUUUAAGCAUAAUAACUUGAGUUGCAACAGAUAGCCUUGAAUACUAUUUUUCUUCUUCUUCUUCUUUUUUUUUUCAUUUAAUUUAUUAGAUUUCAAUUUCUUUUCUUUCCACCUAUGCUUAUGCAAAAUGGUAGAUGAUAGUGUUCUGAUAGAGGGAAACAGAAUGAAGGCAUGAAUUCGUCUUUUGCUACUUAGAUUUGGUUUCUAAUAAAUACUGCUAAUAAAUACUGAAUUGAAUUAGGUGGCUCCACCUUCCCAAUUUCCUGGUUAUGGUCAAUCACCCAGAAUGUUUGGAAUGCCACCCACACCACUACCAAAUCAGUCCAUGGCUACUAUCUCACCUGCCGUUUGUCAAACUGGAUCUCCUUUGACUGGGUCAUCGAAGAUAGAUCCCAAUCAAAUUCCUCUGCCUGUACCAGGUUCGUCAGUGCUCAUUCAUGAAACUCGUCAGGGCAAUCAGGCAAAUCCACCUCCAGUAUUUAUUCAUCCAUAAAUUUCAAGAAAAAACAAUGAUUUCAAUGGUUGCUUUAGCUGUAUUCCUGAUACUUUUUGACUUCCCUACUCUCUCCUUUUUCUACACGCGUAAUUUUACUUCUAUUUUCAUUGUACAUAUUCAUGCUGCAAAGUGUAUUUAAGCAUGGUGAAAAACUAGAUAUUGUCUAUCAUUUACAUCCUUUUGAUUGCUUUUAUUAUUUUGAAGCCUGCUACAAGUGAUUACAUUGUCAGAGACAAUGGGAAUUGCAGUCCACGUUACAUGAGGUGCACCAUCAAUCAGGUUGGGGUCUAACUUUCAUGGAUUGCCUGUUUAUUAUUGUACAAAAACAACAACAACAAAGCCUUUUCCCACUAAGUGGGGUCAGCUAUAUGAAUCCUAGAACGCCAUUGCGCUCGGCUAUAUGGAUUGCCUGUUUAUUAUUGUAGUUAAACAUUUUUUUUAUCUCAAUUUCAGUUUUGGUUUGUUGUUUUCUUUUCUAAUAAGUAUAGUAAUGUUAUUAUGUUUUUGUCAAUUUACCAGAUACCAUGUACGGCUGAUCUUUUGACAACAUCAGGGAUGCUGUUAGCUUUGUUGGUUGAACCAUUUGCUCUUCCUCAUCCAGAUGAAGAACCAAUCCAAGUAACAUGUUUAUAACAUUACUGUUCCUUCCAGAUAUAUAUUUUGAGAGACUAUUUUAAUGAAAUUAGGCAACAAAACAACAAAGAGCAACAUAAGUGGUCAAGAAGGCCACUGGGAAGAGAGAAGAAAUAAAAAACCAAUAAAAGCCUAAUAAAAUCAUGUGACUCCCAAGCAGAACCUAAGCACCACAGCCUGGCAUUCUAACCCAAUACUUGAAAAGAAGUAUGUCUACACUCUGUAGAGACAGAAGUCCAGAGAGCAGCCAAAACUGAACUUCGUACUUUAACUGUCCUCAACAUCAGAUCGAACAUAAUCUUCAAAUACCUUUCAAUUUCUUUCCAACAAGACGACCCAGAGCAUAGCAAGAAUCAUAUAUCCCCACACAACUUUAGCCUUUUUGCCCUUGCGUAUAAAAGAGAAGCAGCCCCUUGGAAUUACCCAGCUAAUAUCAGCCUUCUUAAAGAGCUUCAACCCAAGGCCCAUCAUUACAGGGCCUUGGAGGAAGGUGUGAUCCACCAAUUCAUAAUCUUCCUUGCACAGAAUGCACUAAUGAGGGGAUAAACAGAUCCUCGGUCUCCCUUGAACCAUAUCACAAGUGUUCACCUUCCCCUGAGCCACCAGCCAGGACACCAACUUCACUCCAAAAAGUGAUUUCUUUCUACCUGGAAAAAAAAGAAGAAGCUAAUACACAACAAUUUCAGGAUGCUUCUCCAUGAAUAAUGAUACAAAAGACGUGGAACUGACCAAAUUCUGAAUAAUUGAACAAUCAACAUUUGCAUCGAACUACUAUGUUAGUACUGAAUUGUUUUGUUAUAGGUUGUGGAUUUUGGUGAAAGUGGUCCUGUUCGAUGCUCUUGUUGCAAAGGCUACAUUAAUCCUUUCAUGAAGUUUGUUGACCAGGGCUGGAAAUUCAUUUGUAACCUGUGUGGUGAGGAAGAUUUCUUUUUGUAUUGUGUUGUUUGUGUAAUAUUUCAGUUUAAGUAACAGGACAAAUUUGCGGUCCUGAAACUUCUUCAUGGCAGUGUCUAUGCUCUUUUUUUUGUGUUUGUUUGUAGGUUGUUUGUUUGUAGGUUUGCACUGUUUUAUUUGGCUUGUGAAAGUAAUUGAACUUUUAUCUGCAUCAUAAACGUGUUGGGUCAACAUUUCAGUUUCUCAAGCAAUCUUUUCAAAUAUUUUAGAAGGCCAUUAGUUAAAUGUAAAUCCUUCUCGAGAGUAUGUUGUUUACCAUUCUAGUUUUGCUCUUGGCAUCUGGAAGGUCUUUACUUUGGACUCUGGAUUAGGGUGUAGUAUGUACUGUUUCUAUUUAUGCAAAAGAGGUGACCCUACAACGUAUGCCCUUUCUUCUGCAGGAUUUACUGAUGAGACUCCCCGUGACUACCACUGCAAUCUUGGGCCAGAUGGUAGACUUAGAGAUGCUGAUGAAAGACCUGAGCUAUGUAGAGGAACAGUUGAAUUUGUUGCUUCAAAAGAAUACAUGGUUUGUUGAUUAUGCUAUGCAGUUAUAACUGAACUAAUUUUUUCAUAAUUCACUAGAUUUACUAUUCUUUUAUCUGUCAUCUCUUGAUCAUCUCAUUUUUUAUUAUUUGGCUUUUAUAAUUCAGGUGCGUGAUCCCAUGCCAGCUGUGUACUUCUUUCUCAUAGAUGUGUCCAUGAAUGCCAUUCAAACUGGUGCAACUGGUGCAGCUUGCAGUGCAAUCAGUCAAGUUAUUGCUGAUCUUCCUGUGAGUUAUUCUGUCUGUAUGCAUAAUGUUCCAAUUUUACUUUUGUUAUACAUAAUGUGAUUGUUAUACUGUCCACGAUGUUACAUUGUCCCGAUGGUUCUGUAUCUCUGCAUUUAUUGUUCAUAAGGCUUAGACAUAAAUAUAAUGAACUUCACUUGGAUUUACCUUUUUAUUCCCCCUCCUCUUUUAAUAGAGGUUUGUUAAUUUUAUGAGUUUGUUAUAGACAGACUACAUUUUAGAUUAGGGUCCAUGAUGCCAAGCCCAAGGCAGUUGGGAUUAAGGAUGACUUGAGUAGAUAAAACGUUGAUGAGUCUGACGGAAAACAUAAAUCCUUGCUAACUGUAGUGCUAUUUUCUUUGAGGCCCAUUCAAUCCCUUUUUAUUUGUUUGGUGGUAUAAAAGAUGAAAUCUAUAAGUGCAGCUUGGAGUUGGAAAUGUACUGCAUUGUCUCUAAUCUGUAUAGUUUGGUUAUAAUUUUUUUCCCUCGAAUAAUUGUCCCCCAAAAGCAAGCAGAUCAUUUAUCAAACACAUUUCAAACCAUCCCUGAUAAAGAGCGCAAGAAUUUAGUAUGGGCACUUGUAUCUCAUCUGUUUUUGUUGGAGACUCCAAAAAACUAUUAAGGUAAACUCCAAUAUCUACUUAUUUACUGCAUCAGCCAGUCAAUCAAAAUGCCAUUCAAGUAAACAUAGAAACAACAUGAUUCAAAACCAAUCUCAUUAGACUAGGGAAAAAGGCAAGAAUUAUAAUGGUGAUGUGAUGAAUAAUUAUUAGCUAGGAUUCAUUUGCUUCUUUUUUUUUUGGGUGGCCAAAAGAGUCAAGUUUCCUAUGUACUCAUUUGCAUUGCAUACACAUCUUCUGUCUUUAUAUUUCAUUUUUACGAUCUAAGACCUGUUUUAACAACAUAUAUGUCUCUAUCUAUGUAUCUGUAUGCGUGUGUGCAUGUAUGUGUAUGUUCUUUUUUUAUUUAUUUUUAUUUUUUUAUGAGAAUGUGUGUAAUACAUAUUUGCUUGGUUCAUUUUCCCAAAGCCUGUAGUCAAUAGUAAAUGAAACGACAACAGUUAGAGUUUAGCUGACUCACGUAUUGAUAUAUUUAUUAUUGCAGGAAGGUCCUCGGACAAUGGUGGGAAUUGCAACAUUUGAUGCAACAAUCCACUUUUACAAUUUGAAACGUGCACUGCAGCAGGUCAAAAUGAGUUCUCGUUUUCCCAAAAUAGAAAACUUCAUUAAUCAAGUUGAAGAGCAUAGUUGUCUUUGCGUUUCUAAAUAUUGUGUGAUUCAUUUUUUGUGAGUGAUAUAUAGAACCAGUAAUAUUUUAUGGCUUCUUCUGAUAAGCAAAUUUUUGUAGUAAUUUUUUCAUUUCUGACAAUCAAAUUUGCAGCUAAAAUUUCUUCUCUUCUUUCUCUGACCAUCUGAAUUUAAUUUUUCAGUGGUAUUCUUUCUGGUCUAUAAGUUUUGGCUUCUAUUCUUACCUAACAAUUAUUUUUUAUGCUUUCUCACUGAGAUUAAAUAUAUGUUUUCAGCCUUUGAUGCUUAUUGUUCCUGAUGUACAAGAUGUUUAUACUCCUCUGGAGACUGAUGUAAUUGUUCAGCUUUCAGAGGUCAGUAGCUGCUGUCUUCCCUUCAUGAAAUGCGUUCAAGUACUAGUAUUGAUUUAACAACAAUCAUUCACAAGUCAGUCUGUCAUCUUAUUUAUUAAAUUUCCACUUGCCUCUUAUUAAAUUCAGUUUUUUAUUUUGUUUUAUGGAUUUUUAGUGCCAUCAAAAUUUGGAACAAUUGUUGGAAAGUAUUCCCACCAUGUUUCAAAACAGUAAAACUGCUGAAUCAGCCCUUGGUGCGGCAAUCAAGGUAUGUCGUAUAGUACAACACUGUUGUAUGUACUGAACUACUUAUGGUGCUUGGGGUUUGCUAUUCCAUUUCAACAUACAGAACAUCGGGAGUGAAAAUGGAUAUGACAACAAAUUCAUGAAACACGCUUCAAGCAGAUGUGACAUAAUAUCGUUGAUAUUGUUGACGCUAUGAAGCUUCAUAACUCCUAUGUGUUGGCUGUGCUUGGGCAUGACACUUUUGUAUUUCUUUGAGGUUCUUUUGUCCAAAGCAGAGUAUAAUCAGAACGGCAAUAAGAUAACUGAUAUUUAAUUUUAGUUUAAUAGCUUAAGGAAAACAUAAACGUAAGUAUUAAAAUGAUGGGCUAGAAAAUGCGACGACUAAUCUAAAAUCAUUCUUUCACAUGCUAAGUGUAAGAAAUUUUUGGAAUAAUUAGUUAGAUACAAGAAAUUGAAAAUCCUACAGGUGUACAUAUUUGCAUAAACCUGAAAGCUGAUUGGAUCAGAGUUUUGUUCUUGCCAAGAUACUGAUCAGCUUUCUUAUUUUUCCUCCUUUUGUGGUGGACAUGCCUCAAUAUUUGAUAAUGCAUGACAAGAUUUGAGGAGAGAUGAAUGGAGCUGUUGUCAUGUGUGUAUCAUAUCUGGCUUGUUUGGCUGCCAACUGGCUUUUACUUCCUGUCUGAACACCUUUCUUAGGUUGAUUCAGUCAAAACCCGUUUUCGAGUCUUUGGACACUAGUUGUCAAACCAACACGUGGAGCUAACCCAUUAUUUGAGCUGUUAAACGAGCCCGUAGUGUUAAUCUGCCAUGCUGCAUUCCAUCUAGACAGUCAAAACUCUCAGCUUUUCUCUUCUAACUACCGCGUUAUGAUUAAAAUGCAUCAAACCUAUAUCUUCUGUGAUUUCUAACACAGUAUAAUAUUAUCUGUACGUUUAUAUUGUUAAUUGUAUAUAAUAGAAUUGGAUUAUAAUUUAAUCCAAUUCCCAAUAAUUUUCAAACUAAUUUCAUGAUUAUAAAAUAGAUGACCAAACAUCUAAAACUGCUUUGGUUGUUCAACCAUUCCAGUAAAUAAGUCCUAUCAUUGGCUUAUAUCCAGCCAGGUUUCCCAACAUUGUUUUGAUGUGCAGAAUGCAUUUAGAGUACUGGAGGGAAAUGAAGAGUACUGGAGGGGAACCCUUGCCUAGGCUGCUUUCUUGGCAAUGAAGAGUACUGGAGGGAAACUUUUGGUGUUUCAGUCAGGCAAGCUUGUAUCCACAAUAUAUCUACUUACGAUGCCCCUUUAUGUUUUCUCCCCCCUUUUAAACAAGUUUAUUUAUCCUUGCAAGCAUAGAAUGAAAAACAACAUGCUUGGGGUUGCAGUUCCUUCAUGGUUUAGAGACAAAAUAAAGAGCUGAAAAAACCUAGAAAACUUGUUUCAAAGUUGUUGAUGGUUGCAGUUGUCACGGAAGCUUUCCCUCUCUUUUGAAUUUGUGAAUUCGCACCAUAACUUGUAGUCAGUCAACUUGAAUUACAGCUAAAUGGUUUGGAGAUAUUUUCACUCGGAAUUAUUUGUCCCGUUACACCUGUAUACUUCUACAGACCAAUUAGAGAAUUUGCAUGCAUAUUCAAUACAUUCAGCCUUUGAAGCAUGGAUACGGAUACGGAUACUGUGAUACUAUGCAACACAACACGGCAAUACAUGAAAUCUCUAAAAAUUAGGAUACGACAAGUCAUGGAUACGACAAUAAAAAUAUAUAAUUUAAAAUAUAUUUUAACAUGAAAACAUCCAAAUUCAAGUUCAUUCAAGUGUGAGAGUUAUAUUACUUUUUUUUUUCAAUUAGAGGGCAAGCUCUUUGUAGUCAUCAAAUUUCAACUAAAUCUUUGUUCCUAUUAAUUGUCUCCUCUGAAUUUCUCAUUUGAAAGUGUAACGGUAUCUUAAAAGCUGAAUACUUGUAUUUGGGCGUAUCCAACAAGUAUCAUGAAGUAUUGGAUAUGGGAUAUGCGACCAAACUAAAGUAUCUGUGCUUCAUAGCAUUCAGCAUUGUCGUUCUCUUUUACCGAAUUUAUUGGCAUCUCGGAGAAUACUAAUGAUUUAUGCUUCUGCAGUGCUGGCAUCAACUGGAAUUGGAGCCCUCUCUGCUAGAGAGGCCGAAGGAAGAGCUAAUAUAUCUUCAGCUGAGAAGGUAAUAGCUUUUAUAUGUGUUCUUGUAUGCCAUCUUGCGCUUUAUAGCGGUCGUCCUGUAACCCAGUUACUAUUAAGCAAACAGCUAUUACAUUCUUGCUUGAGGCCACAAACAUGAAUUUAUAUAGGAUUGAAAUUGAACUAGUGGUUAUGAAAACCCCAAUAGCCAAACAGCCCAUUACAUUCUUGCUUUAUUGGUUAAUGUUGGACACAUAAAACCAAAAUUCUUGCUCCAUUAUCUCCCAUUUGGAAAAUAUAUGUUAAAAUAAUUAAAUGGAAAAUUUAAUUAUUAAUGCUGCAUCACAAAGGACGAGAAGAAUAAUAAACAACUUAUUUUUUUUGUAAUUUAUGUCGACAUUAAAAUCAGGAAGCCCUCAUGCAUAACUUUUGCCUUAGGACUCGCUUUCUCUGGACCCUGUUCCUACUUAUAAGAUCUUGCUUUUCAAUUACAUAUGUUCAGUUAAGAUGAAUUACAUGCAUUGCGAAAGAGCUUUUCUUGAAUUCCUGAACCCACUUGAAGAUUUGGCGAAUUAGGUGGCCAUUUAGAUGGACUUGUUGGGAUGAUUAUUGGAGAAUAGAUUGACAUAUUGGGUCUUUGUAUCCUGUGAAUCGUAUCAUCCAACAUUGGAGAGUCCAUUUGCUGCAUUUGCAUGUGCUGUGACCAUAACCAUCAUCCCUUUUACACCUGUUGAGCAUUCUGUUCAAUUUGUUGUCUGGUAGUCUUGGCAUUAUGUUUUCUUUGUUUAACUGCAUUUCAGGAGGCCCAUAAAUUACUCCAACCAGCAGACAAAACAUUAAAGACAAUGGCAAUUGAAUUAGCUGAAUUUCAGGUAAACCUUUGACUAAUUUCUUUCCCCUAGAUGAUCAGUUAACAGGUUGAUGCAAUUUCUAUACUGAGUGAGAUUUUUAGUGGUAAUUGACAAAUUCUUAAGCAUAAUUUAUUUGGACUUUUCUCUUUUUUUCAUGGAAUGUUCCAGGUGUGUGUCAACUUAUUUAUCACUACCCAGUCAUACAUAGACAUUGCUUCUAUCUCCGUCAUCCCAAGAACAACUGGAGGGCAGGUACUAAUGAAUUUGCUUCUAUCCCCAUCCAUACAUCUGGCAUCAAAUUUCUACCUGUUAUGAUUGUGUCGAGUGUUUUCUCUAAUUGACUUUUUUAGUUUAUUUAUAUUUUUGUUUUGUUCUGUUCAAUAAAUAUGCGAAAUCAGAUUUGAGAGGCAUCUGCCACUUGUAACUAUAAAUCAUUUACACAUACAGAAGUGUAAUUGUGUGAGUUACCUUCUUGUAUUAAUAUUCAGCGUUUUGUAUUUCCUCAAUCUUCCAGGUUUACUAUUAUUACCCCUUCUCAGCUGUCUCUGAUCCUGCAAAGCUCUACAAUGAUCUUAGAUGGAAUGUCACAAGACCUCAAGGUCUUGAGGGGGUGAUGCGUGUAAGAUGUAGCCAGGCAAGUGUUUGAACCUCUUUCUCCACUUAACUAUGAUACAAUUCUGCAUCGUUUUUAAUUUUAUAUUUUUUUUAUAAAUAUAUUAAGUAUUCUAGUAAGAUAAGUUUGUUUUCAUCAUUUGCAGGGUAUUCAAGUUCAAGAGUACCAUGGGAGCUUUUGCAAACGUAUCCCUACAGAUGUUGACGUACUUGGGGUUCGUACAUAUAAUAUCCCUGAUUACCACUACUCCAGACUAUGUUUCUUAGUUAUCAUUCAUUUGUCCAUGGAAGUAAAUUCCCCCAACCAGCCGGUCCCCCAACCACACCCCCCCCUCCCGGGACACAGUGACAGUAAAUCAAGCAGUUUGAAAAUAAAUUAGCUCUUGCUGCCCCCUUUAUCUAGUUUUUCUGUUUUGUCGUUUUCAUUAUCCUUAUUCUCUCUCUCUCUCUCUCUCCUUUUGUCGUUUUGCCUUGGAGAGAGUGCUAUUGGCCCUUCUACUGGUCAUAACCAGUUGCUUCUAUCAUGCAGAUUGACUGCGAUAAAACUGUUAUGGUGACCUUAAAACAUGAUGAUAAAUUACAGGAUGGUUCAGAAUGUGGUUUCCUGGUAAAUUUUAAUUUCUCUGUUUUCUGCCAAGGUUUCUAAUGCAGUAAUUCUGAUAUAAUAUCUUCUGAGCUUUUUCUUGUAUGUUUCACUACUAAUUUUAUGAAAUCACCCAUCUCUGCAACUAACUGUUUCAAUGUUUGGUCAUAUUUAUAUAUUUCAUUAUUAAUGUGUUUUGAUAUUUUUCAUUAUCCAGUGUGCCCUUUUAUACACAACUGUGUAUGGUCAACGGAGAAUUCAAGUUACAACUUUGUCUCUGCCAUGCACGAGUAUGCUAAGUAAUCUGUUUCAUGCUGCUGAUUUGGACACUCAGUUUGCGUGUUUCAUGAAGCAAGGUAAUGCUAUUAUAUGCUGUUCUUCUUUGUUGCUUUCUAUUUGCUAUCCUCAUUUUCCCAUUAUGUAAUGCUUGUCCUCAGUUAAACCUGGUGCUUAAAUCUGUGAAUGAAUUUAUGAAAUCACUCUUUAAAAUCUCUUUCAUCAUUCACCUCUGAUGGAUUGAAAUGAUGAUGUAAAUUCUCUUUCUAUGUGUUCCUUUUCAAUCACUUGCUGCAUCUUGCCAAUUUUUUAUUCUUAGGAUAGAGUGAGAUAAGGCUUUGCUAUUGUUGUAGGAUAGCAGUUUGUUGUGACAUUCUGUCUAAUUUCCUUUGGACGAAAUCUGACUGUAAGUCCUUAAAUAGUGUAUAGCGGCAAACGAAAUUCCUUCAAGUGCUCUCUUGCGUGUACGGGACCAAGUGACAAAUCUGUGCAUCAGUAGUCUGCUUUCAUAUUGUAAAUUUUGUGCUACUGUAUCAUCUUCUGGACAGCUUAUUCUUCCGGAGGCACUGAAGCUCCUGCCUCUAUACACCCUUGGUAUAUUAUUAUCUACUUUAUACAUUCAUACUAGUUUAUGGUUUUUUUUUUUUUUUUUUUUUUUUUUUUUUUUUUUUUUUCUUUUCUUUUUUGUGUGUGUGUGUGUGUGUGUGUGUGUGGUUGGUGCUGUUUCCUGUUCUAAUGUUUUUAUUUCUGUUUUCAUGAGAAACAUAAUUGUAUGAAAAACAAUCAUAGAGCAUAGUACAAAAACUUAGUGAAAAAGAGGUCGACAACAAUUUGAUACAACUCUCAACAGAAACAAAACCAUAUUACACCUCUAAUGUUGCAAGUCAAAACUCUAAAAAGCACCCUACGGCAGCGCCCCAGUCUAAUGUCUCUAAUUAAUUUCCAGAAAUGAAAAUCCCUAAGGCUGGAGACACAGAAGCCCAUAAUGAUGCCAGAACCUUUCUUUCUUCCAAGAGCUCAUUCCUAUGACCAUGAGAUAUGAUCCAAGCCGAAAGACAAACCUUAGCAGGAACACUAGACUUCUCCAUAACAUUUUUCUGGCUGCAACACAGAAAGGGACUGCUUAUCACCCUGAAAACAAUUUCUGUUCUGUUUGGUAGAAUGUUAAAGAAAAACAUGCCUCUUCCAUUGCGGAAACAUAUUGCACAGAAUUAUCAUUCAGCUUCUUAGAAGAGUUUGUAUGUAUAUUGAUAUAUUUGUGCUUGUUUUCCAUUUUCAGCAUUAAUCAAAAGUAUGGGGCUACGAAGUGAUGGAAAAAUAGAUGAGCGGUCCUUCUGGAUCAAUCAUGUAUCUUCCCUUUCUGUUCCUUUGGCAGUUCCAAUGGUGUACCCCUGAAUGGUGGCUAUUCAUGAUCUCGAUUCCAAAAAGGUGUGUCAUUUAGCUUCUUGUUCAACUCUUUGAGAUAUGCAUUUUAUAUCACCGGUGUCAUCUGUUAAUUGACAGGAGGGUGAUGAAUCUCUAAUUCCUCCGGUGAUUCCACUAUCUAGCGAACACGUGAGUGACAAGGGAAUUUAUCUUCUAGAGAAUGGUGAGGACUGUUUAAUAUAUAUUGGAAACUUGGUGGAUCCUGGAAUUUUGCAGCAACUGUUUGGAAUCACCUCUGCUGAUGGACUUCCUACUCAGGUAGCCUUAUCGUUUAUAUCUUUGGUUACUCAUCUUCUGCCUGACAUAAUUGUAAACUACAAUUAGCCUCAAGCCUCAGGCAUAGGCAUUGAGUAUCUGAACUUGAUUUCUCGGGACCUGCUUCAGUUCACUAGAAUGAGGGGGCUGGGUGCUUAAUUGAUUUUUUUUUUUUUAAACGAGGCUUAAUUCAUUAUUUAUCAAUUUUUCUUGUUUUCAUAUUUUUAUAUAAUAUUAUAUGAUUGUCAAGAUUUUGAUAAAUGAGGGUGCAUGAGUUGAAUUCAUCUCUUGAAUCCUUUCUCGCUUUGCAAGUUAUCAUUGUUUAACUUGUAAGUUCUUUUGCCCAGUUUGUGCUGCAGCAGUAUGAUAAUCCGUUAUUGAAGAAGCUGAAUGGUGUGGUAAAUGAAAUACGGCACCAAAGAUGUUCCUACCUUCGGUAUGAUAUUAUUUUUCAUUGGUGAUUCCUUACUUGUUAGGAAGAAAUGAAUUGCAGCAAUGAUUUCUAAAUUUAUCUUAUUUUUGUGCAGCUUAAAGUUGUGCAAGAAAGGAGAUCCGUCAGGUGAGAACCGGGCCGAAUAUCUGAUCCAAGGACUAAGAUACUAUUGCUUAAUUUUAACUAUUAAUCAUAGUUUUAUCACUAUAGAGGCAUUAAAAUAAAGAAAGAUUAUCAAUUGGUUUUUAUCAAGUACUGUGUUGACUUUCCUUGCAGGAGCAUUGUUUUUCUCAUGCAUGGUCGAAGACCAGAGUCCGAAUGGCCCCUCCUAUGUUGAGUUUCUGGUACAUGUCCAUCGGCAAAUACAGAUGAAAAUGGCGUCAUAACUGCUCGUUCUUCUUCAGUUUGAAUUGAAAGUUUUUGCUAGAGCUCACAGGAAUUCAACGAAAAGCAGAAAAAAUAGACGCCUUCCAUCCAUAUACACUCUGGGAUCAUCCCGCAGGCUAUUUAUAUGUGAAGAGCAGUCGAGCUGAGUUUGGCUAAGAUAGGUUUGUUAAAAUUACAGUUGACACCCUUAGUAGACGCUACCGCUAGUAAAUACAAAGCUUAUUACUGUUUUUAAGUUGCCCCGACCCGAUUCUUUUCUGUGAACUCCCUUUCCGUUUUGGUUUACUGUGAGAACCAGAAAUGGAAAAACAAAAAGAAUGUAAGAAAUGUUGGUACUUGGGAUAAACCUUGUAAAUUAUGGUUGGUGAAAGAGAAAUGUAUAAACAGGUUUGUUAUACAAAAUGUUUUGGCUUCUGCUUUUGUGAUUGAACCGGUUAACUCCAAUUAUAAAAUAAAAUUAGCAUUUAGUAUUUGUAAAAUAAAUACAGAGAAAUAGAGGAAUAAAAGGUUCUUUGAGAAGGAUGUGCAAACUUUUGAGAAAAAGAAUGAUGUGCAAGAUGAAUCGUCUAAUAAAACUUGGAUGUCUUACACUGGACCCUCCAAGAUUAGAAUCCUGGAUUUGCCACCUGGUCUAGUCAAAGAAAAGUUUGGGAAGGAGUGUUGCUACGUCAUCUAUAAGGCACCACUCGAAAAAAUGUUCGACUUCCCGUAUUCGAUCGUGUUUGACCCUAUGUGUGUCUCAUUUAGUGUUAGAGAUUCCCUGGUUGAAGUUUUUUUUUUCCCAGUCAAAAUCAUCUUCUUCAUUGAUCACCUUGAUUGAUUACAUGAUGUCCUACUGGGCGUGUCAAAAUAUUACGGCCAAAGUCAUACUUAGCCUGCGGCGUUAAAUAUAGGUUGUAAGCUAUGUCCUUCCAAUCUUGAAAUUGCGGGUGUUCCAAUACACAUGAGAAAUGCCAAAAGAUAUAGUUUGAUGUGGUGUGUGUUGAGCUAUCUAGACUUUGACUUAGAUUACAACCAAGGAAAGAACAUCUCUCGGCCUUGGAUUCUUCGGCUCGAAGACAAGGUUUGCGUUAAUCAAUACAAUAGUCAAGAUCUUGGGUACUAGCUAGGCUUUGUCCCGAUCAUGAUAUUCCUCAACUUGAAGGUUGGUGGAUUGAUAUCGUGCUGAACUGUUAUAUCCUAGAGAAACUGGGCAUUAACUCAACGAGAACACCGUGCUCGCCUUAGAUAGCACGCAAAAUUACCUGAUCCGCAGAGAAUACUGCAGCUUAAAACUGCUUUGGUUCCCUAGUGUGACCAUUUGAAUGACGUGGUCUAUGCCCUUAACUUUCAACAAAAGGCUGGUUUAAUUCAAACCCAUUAAUGGGAGGGGGGGGGGGGAAUGUAACAAAUUCAUAUUAGCAUAGAUAUUUGAUUGGAGUACUGAUGCAAAAGAAAAUAGCUAGAAAUAGGAUCAUCAUCAACUUAAAGAUUUGAUAAGAUUAGGUGAGAUUACUUUGCUAAUUAAAUUUUGGAUGAUAUAUGAUUAGUUUUAUACUUCUUUUUCAUAACUUUGUUGAUCAUGGACCAGUAGUAUACAUUUAUUCAGGCCACAUAACUUUCAACAAACACUAGCAGAUUCUCAAUACGUUAGAGCAGCACGCCAUGGUGGCUCCUCCUCCACCCAAGGGACACAAUUAACAGAUUGCAAAGCAAAUUUGGCCACCAGUUCUGUUAAUGUAAGGAAUUGCUUUUGUAUAUAUUUUAAUGAGAAUCGAAGAAGAUGAAGGAAGAGAAAAAAUGAGAAAGCACAAAACGUGUAAAUGCUUCCCUUCUCUCUGCUUAAUUGCUUCUAUAGAUAUAUAUAUUUGUCUAAAAUGUUAGUGAAUGAGCACAAAGCACUCUUCACCUCAAAUUCCGUUAACAACCAAAGCCUUUCAUUUCCUAUACUCUAGGAUUGUCCAUUUGGUAUUCACAACCUUUACCUAUAAGCCUAACACACAUUUACUCAAGUGAAUACACAUUUAAUUAAUAAGGCUUAAUUAGAACUAAUUCAAAAUUAGCUCACAGCUUAUAAUUCAACAAGUUCAUGGGCAACUACAUUUGCUGCCCGACAUUGCCGCCAAGUACAAAAAACUUUUUGAAAAUUGUCACAGGAACUUCCAGACUCAAAGCACUCCUCGUCUCGAUUAAUGCUGUCCACCAAAGUUUUCCCAUCCAUCUCCGAAUCACUUGUUGAAAGCACAAGUCACUGACAAAUUGUAGACCAAUCUUGGCAGCCCAGACUUGGGUAACGCGAGCAGAAAUAAAAUCUGAAGCAUGCGCAACACACCCUGCCACGAAAGAUCUACAUUUUCCUAAAUAUAUGUGAAAGCAUUAUCAGUGUUUUCUAGGAUUUAUCAAAAUUUUAAUUGGUUGAGAAUUUUUUUUAUAAUUAGAUUGGUUAAUUGGUUGAGGAUUUAUCAGUGUUUUCUAGGAUUUAUCAGAAUAACCUUUGUUCAAAUUAAACAAGCAUUAAAAAGAAGAAAGGCAGAUGAACUGGAAAAUUAACAGAAAAUUCGAUUUAUUUGAUAGCGUAACCCUAGACAACCCAAACCAGCAAAUUCUGGAAAAUUAACAGAAAAUUCGGAUUAUUUGAUAAGGUAUAUAUGGGGCGCCCGCGCCC